rnacentral:lncRNA from 1 species
UGUAAUUCUCCUGUUGUAGCUGUUUGGGAAAUUGGAGGGAGAAUAACAAUAAUGAUUUCAUGUUUUGUCCUGUUGUUAGUUGAGGCUUUUGGCUAACAUUCUUAAAGGCAACAGAUUUUUUGUUGGUAUAGUUUAUCAGUUUCUGCAUAUUUAUAUUGUAUCUCCAAAAUAUGCCACAAGUCCUUGGAGCCCAUGAGAUUCGAGGGAUUUUGAGAAUUCGUAUGGGAUUAUUGUAUUUGUUCAAUUAUCUCAAUCUGGUAAACUUUUGUUUCUAAUACAGUUGGUGGAGACUAAAAAAUGGAGAGACUUAUAAUGGUCAUUUGGUGAAUUGUGAUACUUGGAUGAAUAUCCAUCUUCGUGAAGUUAUCUGUACGUCAAAGGUAAUUCAUUGUUUUUUAAUAUGUUAUUGCUAGGUUUUCAAAUGUAUUGGUGCAUGACCACCUGAUUUUUGAAAAAUUAAUGCAGGAUGGAGAUAGGUUUUGGAGAAUGCCUGAAUGUUAUAUUCGUGGCAAUACCAUUAAGUAUCUUAGAGUUCCUGACGAGGUUAGUUUAUUUUCUUAAUUACUAUGAUUAAUAAUGCUUUCGUGUAGUAUUAUUUGUUUUUCACUUGCAACAUAGUGUGUAUGGCAUGUUUGGACCUUGUACUAAGGGAACAGAAGAUGGGUGCCUAUUUUGUAGUAGUUAUUUGUAUUAUUAAAUGGUUGCUUUGCAGGGGUGACUGUAAAAUUUGUAUACUAGUUGUGGAAUGGAGGUUUCUACUUAAGUACCUAGGACUAAACUACUUGCUUUAGUGUUAUCACUCAACAUGACAACGAGUUUGAAAAAUCUCUAGUUUUCAUAGAGAGUACACGUUAAUAUACACAAUAAUAUUUUUUUACACACCUCCUAACGUACAGGCCUGAAUUCUUUUUUCCUUGCCAAGCACACAGAAGUUAUUUUCUGAUAUUGGGUGGGUUGAGAAUUGCACCAUGUUGAGAUGUGAAAUGUGUGAUCAUCUGAUGUAAAAGCUUAAGUUGUUAGGGAGGACACAUUUUAAUUUACUUAAUAACAUCUUGUACAGAAAACGGAGGACAGUCCAUUUACACCUUUAUGGUGGUGCAUUGUAGGUUUGGUUUGAUGUAGGUAGGUGGAAUCAAGAUACUAGCUAAUCUUGGUGUGACCAAACUUAUGGAUAUACUUGUCUGGUUACUCACUCAAUGGGGCUUUUAGGGGUGGGUUUCAGUUGUGCUGUUGUAGGCUGAAGUUAUGUUACUAGCUAAUCUGUGGUGUCUGGGCCUAUGGGGCUAAACUUACCUUGACAUACUUGGAAUCAGAGCAGGAAAGAAUAGAGAACCGGGUAGAAAAGUUAAAAGAGGUAUUAGCAGUAACACAUGUCUGAGCAAUAAUGCAGGGAACUGAAGGUUGAUCUUACAACACAACUCUGAUGUUCCUAAAGGCUAAAUAUAAAUGCAUCCAAUAUUCUUGUUGCCUCUUUUCUACUGAUAAAAUAGAUUUCUUGAAAUGAAAUCAUUGCUGUGGUUGGAACAUUAGUGUUUUAGACUUUGAACAUAGUGUUCUUCUCAAAUAAGAUGUGUAGCCUUCCGAGGGCCUGUGCACCCCCGGGAUUAGUCGGGGCUCAAAGAGACUCGGACACCCGGUGCAAAUCAAAAAUAAAAUAAAAAUAAGAUGUGUAGCCAAGUGGUUUUCAUAUAAGAUUCAGAAGUUAGAUAAUUCUUAGUUCUUAAGUAAUUAUUUUCCAAUAGUACUGGCUUAUUUUAUAUCAGAUAUCCUAUACUAAAAAAAAUAUAAAAUGUUAGACAUCACAAGGUUGAACCACUAUUGAUGUUGUUCUUUCUUGCAUGCCUGUAGUCCACUGUAUGUUCAUUUCCCCGUGACUGUGAGUAGAACAUUCCUGUAAGAGGAGAAUUGAUUACGCUGAUGUGAUGCAAUUUAGCCAAAUCAGACAUUGUUGUGCUCCCUAUGGACCAUGAAUCUGACACCUUAGGUAGGAGUGCGACUCUAUGAAGAUGGCAAUGAGAGAUUGUUUUAGCAAUGACGAGCUUCCAUGUGAAAUCUAACGUUUGCAGUUUUGACUAAAUAAAGCGGCUGCGCCUGCUUUCUGCUUUUAUUUUCUUCUUAGAGCGUAUUAUACACUCUUCCACCCUGUUUUUUUUAUAGCUCAUGACAGGCACAUAUGGGAAGUUAUCCUAGCUUCUCUCGUCCAUUCGCCUUCCACACAUUCAUAGUUGAUUCAGGAAUGACCUUUGAGUUUUGGAAGUUAUCCUUUUGUUGAUCUUUUAGGAGUGCCAGGAACCAUCGUUUCCCAGUGUUUGCUUCCUCUGUUAGAUGCUUUUCUUUUUGUUUGUGUGGGCUUUCAGUACUAGCUAGGAAGGCAGAUGAUGUUUGAAUAUAGCUGUUAUCCUAAUUUUCUUUACUUCUCCUUUGUUUGGACACAUGGGGGAUGGGGAGUUCGAAAAGGAGAGGUAGGUGAGAAGAGUUUUCAUGGGCAGCUCACAUUUUCUUUUAAAAAGUCAUAAUGUUAACAGAUAGAAGUAGCUGUAAAAUGAAAACCCCCUAUAUCCUUUCAGAUGUAAAUGCCAGAUUUACACUUUCACUUCUAUAAAAAUGGAAAAGAAUGCAGAUUGCCUGUUCUUUUAUACAUGGAAUAACUUUAGUAUUGCAACAUUAUUUUACUGAGAGGCUAAGCUUUGUAGAUAUUCUUGAUUAUAUAUAUUUUAAAAUAUGGACAUACCUACUUGUGUUUAUUGGUUUGAAUAGUGCAUUUUUAUCACCGGGGUUGAAGACUGAGUUUGCAGUAGUUUAUAAAUUCUGGAAGCUUAGUCUGCCCUUGGCUCUUCAUUUGACCAAGUUAAUAAUCCCUCUUACUGCUGUUUGGUUAACUAUGCUAUACUUUUCCAGGUGAUUGAUAAAGUUCAAGAAGAAACAAAAAGCCGUGGAGGUACUACUUUGGACUAUUAACUAUCAGGAAUUGUUAUAACUAACUUCUAAUUAGCUAUUGGAUCAGUGUGGGGUUUGUUGAUUUUACAAAUACUGCCCUACUAGCCUAGAAUCAGUGUCUGAGCAUUCAGCUUAAUUAGUAUAUUUUUAAAUCCUUUUGCAGAUAGAAAACCACCUGGUGUCGGUGGACGAGGAAGGGGAAGAGGAGGUAGGGAUGAAGGUGCUGCUGGAAGACAGGCGAAAGGCAUUGGGCGUGGAAUGGAAGAUGCAGGUGCCAAAGGCCGGGGCAAAGGAGGACCUGGUGCCAAGUCUGGUGGAAAAGGUAUGAAGUGUUCAAUAUGCAAGUUAUAAUGUAAUUUUAUUCUCGUUCUGCUAAAGCUUAUGUAUCCCCGAGUCUCAAUCCGCAGCGACCAUGUUCAACACUUGAAAUUAGUCUCCAUACAGCAAGUCUCUAUGUUGUAACAGUCCUCAAGUAUAUUUGUGAACGCAAUAUUUAUAUAGCCAUUUGCUAAUCAGAAGAUUCUGGAUGUGGUAUUUAUUGUACAGGUGGUGGCCGUGGACGUGGCUAAUCGUCGUCAUUUAGAGACAAAGAAGCCAGAUGACAAUCUAGAUAUUAUUGUAUCUUAAUUUUGUUUGUACUUUCAAAUUAUAAAGCAACUUACCGGAGAAAAGGCCUGCUUCCAGUUAUUAUUAUUUUAAGAUGAAUGUAUGUAGGCUUGAAAUGCUCACUCUCUUUCCUUUCUGAUGACAUGUAAGAGUUCGUGUCUUGAAAAUAUUUGGCUCCUCAGUAUGUGUGUUAUUUUAAAUGAAAACUUAGCUAGCUUUCUUUACCCAAUCCAAGAAGCUGGAUUUCUAGUGAAAGACGCCUUUCACUUUAUACUUAGAAUGUUAAAUAACACGAGUAAAUAUUUCUGUACUUAAGAUUAGGGAGGCAAACAUUUGGUUUUAUCUAUUAAUUUCCAAAAGAUGUGACUAUUGCUUCUUUAUUUGUAGGUUUCAAGUAAUGCCAUAUUUGGAUGAGUUCUCAUUGAAAAUAUGAUUACACUUAGAUACAUGUAUAUUUGCUAUGAGAGAGGCAAGUGAGAUAGGUGAGGGAGGUCAACGAGAUUCGUAUGUAUUUCAAAUACAAGCGAAUCACACUAGAUACAUGUAUUUGUAGAGUGAGAGAAUUGUAAUGUACUUAAAUACAUGUGAAUUCACUUGGAUACAAUGUAUACGAAAGGAGUACCUUUUUCUGUAUUUUCUUUUAUAAUUCCUGUUUGUUUGAGGUUUGACGAAAGAAAACUUAUCCAAUAAUUGAAGCCACUUCAAGGCAGUCACGUAUUCUUUAGUAUAAAAACAAACUAAUUAUGGGAUGCAGACAAAAUGUUGCUAUAUAAAAAUUAAAUAUCAUUUUGUGUUAAGACAUAUUUCUCUCCUCAUCAUCAGCUGUUAGUGUAGUUGAUGGCUGGCAUCAAAAUAGAUAUGGAGCAUGUGAUAGUUGAAUCUCAAGAAAUGGAGAAAGAAGAAGAAGAAGAAGAAGUAAAGCCUCAAAAGACAAAGCGAGUUGCUUCCCUUGAUAUUUUCAGAGGCCUCACUGUUGCAGUAAGUUUGACCAUCUUUCUCUUCUUAUGGACCUUUCCUUCUCCUACUUGGCGAAGAUUGGAACAAUGGGAUUAUAAUUCUACUUGGACAAUGAAAAUCUCAUAGAUUCAUCAGAUCAGGUAAUGACCUGGAUUCUUUAAACAGAAGAAAUUGUGUCACUAUCCAAUACUUACUAAAAUUUAGAAACUACUUCAAAUGGAUAAAUGAAGAAAGUUGUUUUACCCCUUUUAGUGAAAGGGGAAUAUCAUUUGGUGUUUGAUUGUUAGAAAAUGACUUAUUUUCUGGAAAAUGUUUUCCUCUGUACCACCCUUAGUAGUUACCUUGCUGUGGAAUGUUGGAAGGUGUCUUGAGAUCUGGAGAAAAGAAAAUAGUUGACACACAGAAGUUUAGGGACAAAUUUAGAAUUUUGUUUUGUUUUUCUGAAUACUUGUAGUUUUGGGAAACAAUACCUUGAUAAUUUUAUGAAUGUUAUGCUUGUAGAUCUUAAGGGUAUGAAACUUCUGAAGUCUGUCUUCGUUUCUAACCUUCUUGGCAAGCUGUUGACCAGUAAGGAGUUGAAGAUUUCACUAGAAAAAGUAUUCAUGCUAUAACAUGAUUGAUUUUGUAUCCUUUUUAUUAUUUUAAAGAAAGGAGAUUGAUUUCUGUAUCAUAUUUGUCUUGUCCCCUAAUGAAACCUGGCAAAUUAUAGAGUUUAUCUUCCUGAAUGAAUUUAAAUCAUUAUCUUUAUUUAAUUACCUCUUGUAUAAUCUUAAGAAUUCAUCUCCUUAGUCUCGUGAUUUGCUUGGACUAGAUUAUAGUAACCUGCUUAGUACAUUGGGAUGUUCACUAAUUCAGACAUCGAAUUUGUUGCCUUUAAAACUUCCUGACAGAAAAAGGUUUAUCGAAUUUGUAGCUGAUGGUCUUGGUUGAUGAUGCGGGAGGAGAAUGGCCUAUGAUCGGGCAUGCGCCAUGGAACGGUUGCAAUCUUGCAGAUUUUGUGAUGCCAUUCUUUCUGUUUAUUGUGGGAAUGGCCAUAGCACUUGCAUUAAAGGUUAGCUUCGCAUUCUUUUUUCUUCUUCCCAUCCUUAAGAGGAUAAAGUAGGGUAAUUGUUCCUACUCAUUGGUGCUUAACUACUUAUUGUGUAGAGAAUACCAGAAAAGCUAGUGGCCAUCAGAAAGGUGAUUCUAAGGACACUCAAACUUCUAUUUUGGGGCCUCCUUUUACAAGGUCAGUUAUCUUUCUUUCCUUCCUUUUAUGUUAUUCUUCCCUUCAUGUUUCCAUGCAAGAUGCAUUCUAUUCAUAUCCAAUAUAUCAUAGAAAAUCUAGGAGGAGUGUUGGACUUACAGUGUCUACAAGCUUCUGAAAUAAGGAAGUAGCCUUUUUUCCCCUUUAUCUGGUGACGUUUCACAGUUCGUUAAUGCUAUUGACUGAAUGCAUAAUGUGUUGCAAAUCUAAAAAAGUAAUUUAGGUUGUCUUCAGUGGAUAACAUCCAUAGUAAUUAGUUGAUGUUGUGCUUUAGAAGUUGAUGAAUAGCUCUGUAGGACUUAAACAUAUAUUUUUUUUAUUUUUUUUUUGGUAACCUGCAUAUUUCAUUCAUAACCAAAAUUGUUUCUUUACAAAACAAAGUAGUAUUGGACUAACUACUCGCUCAUAAUACAAACAAAAUCUACUAACCUAUAGCCUUCUAGACAAUACAACCUGAAUAGAUCAGCAAUUCAAUACUAUAUAUAGCUAAACCAAAACUAAGGGUAGACAUUGAGUUGUUGAAGUGCAUUCUUCCAUUUCGCCCUGGUCUGACUCUUGAUAUGCAUAUGCAUUACAAUUUCCUUCAAAACUUCAUAUAUUGGAUCUCCUAAAGUAGUCACACGUAUUAUCCUUAGGGGAUUAUUGUUUUAUUAGCCCUUUCUCUGUGAUUCUGCCAACCUUUGUGAUUUUAAUAAGUUGUAACUACGUUUUAGCUCUAAUGAAUCUACAGACCCUUUCUCCUUUCUAAUGGACACCUAUCCCAGAACGAAUGAUCAGUAAUGACAUCUACUGAUUAGCUUUCCUUUAGGAAACAGAAUUAUGUUUGGCUUCAGAUAGAAACUUUCAACCAAGUGGGAAUCCAUUUGUUAAACCUGGUCUUGCAUCUCAUCUUUCCUCUUCCCAAAGUUAUUAGAAGUCUAACCUCAUCCUUUCAAUUGUGAAGGGGGUUAUUUCCAUGAUCUUGACAAGCUAAAAUAUGGUGUUGACAUGAAUAUGAUAAGGUUGUGUGGCAUCCUUCAGGUAACAGUUUCUAAUCCCACCCCCCUUUCUGUCUCUCUUUUGAAUGCUAAUAUCUUGUGUUGGUGAUAAUUCUUCUGCUUCUUAUCUUUGUAGAGAAUUGCUCUCGCUUACUUAAUUGUGGCCAUAAUAGAAAUAACAACAAGACAAGCCCAAUCCAAAGAACUACCAACGGGAUGGUUCUCUAUUUUCAAGUUAUACAGCUGGCAAUGGUGAGUAUUAUUUUGGUGUUUCUAAAGUGGUGAUAGCAUUAAGGAUCUCCAAGUUAGUACUGAACAUUUCUUCAUGAUUUCAGGGUUAUUGGAGCAUGCGUUUUAGUAGUUUACUUGGCCACAUUAUACGGAACAUAUGUUCCUGACUGGAAUUUUGUUGUCCAGAACCCGGACAGUGUUGAUUUUGGAAAGACUUUAACCGUGAGUUUCCCUCGUCCAUGUUCCAAAGUUACCUUUAAUAUUUCUAUAUUUAAAGUCAAAAGAUUUUGCUUUUGGUAUUAGGUAACUUGCAAUGUGAGAGGAAAUCUUGAUCCUCCUUGCAAUGCAGUGGGUUAUAUUGACAGACAGAUACUUGGAAUCAAUCACAUGUAUCCACGUCCAGCUUGGAAGAGAUCCAAGGUGAUUGGUUCUUCACAAAAAUUAUAUCUUCCCUCUAUUGUUGUUCUUUGUGAUUUGCCAUCUCCAUUAUCACCGGAUUAAGUUCAUCUGUAACACCUUUGAUGGAUCUUUAUUCUACAGUCUUGCACUAAAAAUUCUCCAUAUGAGGGACCUUUCAAGGAUGAUGCUCCAUCAUGGUGUUGGGCUCCUUUUGAACCUGAAGGAAUUCUGAGGUAGGAUUCGUAUCAUCAAUUCUCUCUUUUCGUCAAAGUCUUGUGUGCUCGUAUCAUCAAUACAAUCUUUAUCUUCGGAUUUCUAGUUGCUUGAUUAAUAAAAGUUUUUAAAGUCUAAUACCUUUUAUGCUACUUACCAAUGUUCAAUUUUCCCUGUCUGGUAAAUUCUUCUACUUAUGACUACAGCUCAAUUUCUGCUAUUCUCUCUACGGUCCUUGGAGUUCAUUUUGGGCAUGUUCUUAUUCAUAUGAAGGUUAAGUCAAAAUCUUCUAGACUUGACCGUCUCACCAAAUUAAAGCAAAGUUACUGAUAUAUUCCAAUUUUUGUAACUCCAGGAUCACUCGUCCAGACUUUUGCAUUGGAUUGGCAUGGGCAUAGCUCUUUUUAGUUUUAGGUAAUUAUUCUCCACUUCACAGAUGGUAAAAUUCGCAGUUUAUGAAAUGCACUCGAAAGCUGGAUAUAUCUUCUUUUCUCUUCCUCAUUUUUCCUUCGAUGGUGCUGAAUGCAGCUAUUCCUUUAAAUAAGCAAUUAUACACCUUCAGCUAUGUCUGUGUAACCUCAGGAGCAGCCGCGUUAGUGUUCUCUGCUUUCUACAUUCUGGUACAGUAGUCUUGUCCAAAAAUCUGGUCACUUCUAUUAUAUGUUCCUUGCUACAAACAUUAGAUUUGGAAGUUCUAGACUUUUACGAUUAAAUCACACUUCCCUCUGAAAUGCAAGGUCAUUCAUUAGAAACAAAAAUCUCAAGGUUCAAGUUGAUGGAAAAUGUUCCAAGUUUUAUGUUUUCAUCAAUCAGUACCGGAUGAUAUAGAGCAGGAGAAUGUGUAGCUGAGACUUUACAGAAUGAGUAUUUUUAACAAGAAAAGCUUAGAAUGACAACAUUCUGAUGUGUCAUCACCGUAGCAAGAUUCACAAACUUCUAAUCCUGAUCCUUUCCUUUUGGUCCUUUUGGAAUGCAGGUUGACAUUUUGAACUUGAAGUAUAUAUUUCUUCCACUAGAAUGGAUUGGUAUGAAUGCGAUGCUUGUUUAUGUAAUGGCCGCCGCAGGAAUAUUUGCAGGUUUCAUCAAUGGCUGGUAUUACGAGGACCCUCAUAACACACUGGUAUUUCAUUCAUCUCUUCCUCACUUUGAUAUGAUGCAGUCCAUUGUAUACAAAUAGUCAGAGGCGGAUUCAGGAUUUGAACAUCAUGGGCUCGAGUUUGAAAUUCUACCACAACAGAUAGGUUACUGGGUUCGAAAUUUGUACUUACAUGGUGAAUUUCUUAGCACAGACAAAGUUACUUAUGCAGUACAUCUGCCUCUAGCCAUCUGCUUUCUGCAGCCAGUUGUCAAAACUUAAAUAGGCCAUACGACAAUUGUUGCUUCUGGUUUUGCUUACAAUCUUUGACAGAUAGGAUCGAAAAUAAGAAGUGAACUCAGUUCAAUGUUUUCUCCUGUACGAGUUCAUAGUUGUGCAAGUAAACUGAUUGAACUUACUCAACAUUUGCAGAUAUAUUGGAUCAAAAAGCACAUCUUCAUUGGAGUGUGGCAUUCAACAAGAGUGGGAACACUUCUUUAUGUCAUCUUUGCUGAGAUAUUGUUUUGGGCUAUUGUUGCUGGCCUACUUCAUCGAUUAGGCGUAUACUGGAAGCUUUAGUUCUGAUGAAAUUUGCUCUUUUGCUUGAUUGUUAUUUUAAGAUAAGAUAUAGCAUUGUAUGUACUUGAAACUAGAAAAAGCUUCAGCUAGACAUGGAUCUCAGUUUGAUUUCUCUCUUUGUUAUGUUUUGUGUUAAAUUUUUGGUAGAAAGUUGUAAUAUUGAAGUUAGAGUAGUUUUUUUUCAGUAUUCUGUUUAGCGAAUCUUUCUUGGAUGAUUGGCGCUUGUUGAUGAUUCCGCUUUUGUUUUACGAUAAUGGAAUUUUGCGCAGUUUUCUGUUUAUUUGAUGUUUGAUCUGAAGCUGUCAAUACGAUCUGGUUGAUUUGUGACUGAUGUUACUGACUAUGUGGUCUGCAUAAAGGCCCUAAACUAUUAAGGCGGUGCUGUCUCUUUUUUCUUUUUUAUUGGGAAUUUAGGAACUAGAUCUACUAAUCUGGCUCUUAGAUUUUAACACCGUCUUGUAGAGGAUUUGAUCUCAAUGUUUUUGACCUUGCUUUAUGAUCUAAUAUUGUAUAUUAGAGCCAUAUAUGAGUAAUUUGGAUCUGAAAAGUCUUGAUAUAGGUUGCUUCUAGUUUAGCUAGACUUGUGCCUCAUGUUAUUUAGGAAAUCCUAGUUUUAUGUAUCUGGAUACUGCAAAUUUAUGUAACCAACAAAAAAAGAUGUAUGUUUUGCAAGUCCCAAAAGUUGGAGGUCUCAAGUUCGAAAUCACUUGCCAGCGGGUUUGCCUUCUGGGUCGACCUCGCACUUGCCUAGGUCUUAAUUUUGAGCAUUUUUUGUAUGAUUAUAUUGUCAAUAGGUGCUAUUACUUUGUCUGUUUUGUUUUGUUUUUGUUGAUUGGAUUUAUUAGGUUUAGAUAGUUGUAAGUAGUAUAGGUGUAGAGAUCUAGCAUUUGCUCAUUUUGCCUAGUCGUGAAUGUCUGCUUAUACUAGUAAUUGAUUGGAUUUGUUGACUUGAUUCAUAAAAUUAUAAUGUUACUGCUAGUUUCCGUAAAAAGAUAUGGUAUCUCUUGAUUUUGCCUUUGCUCAUUCAUUGUUGUGAAUAUUUGCUCUAACGGAUUAGUUCCUUUUAGUGAAUGUCUAAUUAAGAUUUGUUGAUUAGAUUUGAUACAUCCCUUCCCUCUCGGAUACAUCCCUCCCCUACAUAUCCAAAUGUCGUAUCCCAUCUCUUAUAUAUCCCUCCUCUGUUGAAUACGUCCCUCUCCUAUGUAUUCGGAAGUCCAAUGAUGUAUCCGAAAGUCCAUAAAUUUUAAGGGAUUUUUGUAAUUUAGAAAAGAGUAGAAAAAUAAUGUAAUUAGGUCUUGUGAGAUUUAUGUAAAUUAUAUUUUUUUAUUUUCCAACUUUUGGGCCAUAAUGCUCAAAAACUCAAGUCCAACAUCCAUUACAGGCACAAUCUCAAAUCAUCUUAUAUCGUAGUUCUACACACGAGCUGAAAGGUUCUCUUUUUUUGCUUCUCCCUCAAUUGACAUGGGAACACGAGAGGUAUACGAAGAAAAACUGAAGAGAGGGAAUCUCCAUCAUGAUCCUACAAUCAAACCUGGCCUCGGCUGUGCUAGAUGUCCUCGUUGUCUUUCUCUCUUGAACUCCAAUUCAGUAUGUAUCAUAUUCUAGUCGGUUUUUUUUUUUGUGUUUUUGUAAUUGUCCACAUCUUGCCUAGUACAUGCUUGAUGAAAUGCCUAGCUAGUAAUUUGUGCUGUUUCUGUUUGAUUUCAGUUGCAGAAAAGUGGAGAAUGGGUGAUUACUCCUGUUCUACAUGAUUUCACGGCUGUGGUUAGUAUGCUAUAUUACAUGUUUCGAAUGGUAUUUGAACUGCAAGAUCGAACUAGCCAAAUCUGUUGUUAUGAUUAAAAUUUACCUAAGUAGUCACAAAUUUUAAGAUUGAAUGGUGUUGGUAUUUGUGAUCAAAGUCCCACUUUGGUAGUUGAAAAUAAAAAGUAAGCUACUAAUGAUAAGUGUUGGUUAUCUUAGGAGUCGUUUACUGUGAGACAUAAGGUAUAAUAAUCUUAGGAACAAAAUGCGGGAUUAUUUUAUCUUGCGUUUGGUUAGAGGUAUUAGGCAGUCUUGGGAUUAUUUAUCCCAUCAUUUAGACCUUAGUGAUGGGAUAAGUUAUCUCAUAUACACGGUGGAAUAACUUAUAUCACGAUGAUUAAUUCCGGUAUAACUUGUUCUCAACCAAGUGACCCCUUAAUAGUAUGAGGCCUUUUAGGGAAACUGUACAUGUUUGUCCCAAAGUGGACAAUAUCACACAUGUUAAGUGUAUCUUUCAGUUGUUUAACCUAAUGACUACGAGACGAGUAGGGAGAUGACGUAGUGAUGGUGUAGGGACCAGCUCCGAAUUAGCCCAUGAAUGGUAAUGGAUCAUGUGGUACAUAGCUAAUGGGGGAAAUUGUUGUGUGUGUGUAAACAAAGUCCAUACUGGUAGCUAAAAAGAAACGUAAGCUACUUAUAAGUUGUUGAAUCCUCCUCUUGAUAUUGGUAACCUAGCCCAAAACCAUGAUCAUGGAAAAAAGUAUGGGGAUAGUCUUAAUGGCGUGAGGCCUUUUGGGAAAUCGUGCAGGCUUGGACCAAAGCACAAUAUCACACCAUGUUGAUGCUGAAAGUGGUUGAUACCGAAGAGCUCUUAAUGUUAUAUGAAUGUUUUGUAUAUGUCCAAAACUUCAAGAUUUUGUUUCAUAGUAAAUUGGAAUUGAGCUUAGUUGAGUUCAAUGCAGAGGAAGGUUUCUAUUGUGAACCCUGAAAGAAUUCCGUUUUUGAAUGUCUUCCACCUGAAAAUCUGAAAGACUUAUCUUUUACCUGAAACCGAAUAUUUUACCCUUGUCUUACUAAUCAUAAUUUUUAUAAUCGGUUGGACAAGGCUAAUAAACCCAUAGUGAACAGAGUUAUAGCGCAAUCAUAAUAUGAAGAGUUUUUACCAACUAGUUAAAGUAAUAUUCUUUACCUUUGUGUAGGCUGGCUCUGGAAUUGGUGGACUGCUCAGUGCAAUUCAUGGUUUCAAUACAGGCAUGAUUAAUUAAUCAUCUCUUCUGUGCUUAUCUUUGUUUCUUUAUUGUAUUACUCUCCUUAUAGUAAAUCGUGGUUGAAAUCUUAAACUAAAUACUUCCCUCUCUUUUAUCUAAUGAAUUCAUAGCUGAAGUCUUAAUGCUAGUACUUUUCAGGAAUUCCUUUUGUCCAGAGACACGUGAAGGGUCCAAAGUGGCUUCCAUUUGUUAUAGGGGUAGGCACUUAAUCCACUUUUCUGAUCUUAAACUCUUUUCUUUCUCUCUUCUUCCUAUUCAUUGUAUUCUUGAUUUUUGUGCUGUACUCAAAUCUAUGUAAAGUUGAGUAUACAAUUGAUAUGUUAUCUAAUGCUUCACCUUUCCCCUUGUUUUGUUCUUGCAGCUUCCUUCACUACUCAUGUUCUCUGCAGCUAGCGCGACAUUUGGAGGUAAUUCUAUGAAGUUCUAAUUUCAUUCUAAUCUUCAUUCUUUAAAUUUAGCAUGUGUUGUGUUAUAAAUUGAUGAUAAAGUUGCCAUGACACUCAACAUAUUAACUUUUUUUUUUUGAAAAGUAACCCUCAACAACAAUACUUCCCUAUGCACCAAUACUUAAAAGUUGGUAAUUUGAAGAUUAAUGCAAUAAUUACUUUCUAGGAUAUAUAUUGGGUAUCUUGUUUUUAGUUUACUUUCUCUAUCUUAAUAUAAUUGGAUAUCACUUUAUCCCAUCAGUAUUUUGAGUAUUCAAGAAAACAUAAUGUAUAAUCUUCUGUUUUACGCAAGUAUAUAAUUGUUGGUGAUAUUUUCACUCCCUGCUUAUCUACUUCUAAUGAACAUUGCUUUCAACUAUAUCCUGUAAAGAAUCAGAAUUUAUAAUGGAUGUGAAAAGAAUGUUCUAAUCAAAAAGACAUACCUUGAUCUGUUUCUUGUUGUACGUAGAGUAGAAUCACUUUUUUUUUUAAACUGGUGAGUAGAAUCACUUUGAUUCUUUAAACUUUAUGAAAACUGCUUUCGCUCCUGUUCAACCUUACUCCAGUUACUUUUUUGAUGGAAAUAACAUAUUUUUGGUGAGAGAUAUCACCAGUUCUUGAAAGGUCUUGUAUUUUCAUGUUCCAUCAAGUGAGAAGUUAACUAUCACAUAUAUCAGAAAUAACCCCUCUAGUGUUGAUCUGUCAUAUUUUAAAGGUGUACCUUAAUCGAUCAAAUAAGGUAAUUGUGGUAAUAAUAUAAUGUGGGCUCAGCAGGGUGACUUUUAUUUUAUUUUUGAAUGACUGAUGUCUAAACCCCACUUUGUAGUAGAGGUAAGGUCUAUCGGAAACAACCUCUCUACCUUGAGGUAGAGGUAAGAUUUGCAUACACUUUAUCCUCCCCAGACCCAACUUUAUGGGACUACACUGGGAAUGUUGUUAUGAUGAGUAUGACUGAUGUCUAAACCAGCACUAAGGAAGUGCUAUGACACUUGAUGGAAAAGUAGAUGAGCCUCACCUGGAAAUAAUUCUCGAAGAGAAGAAAAUGUUACAUCACACCUGUAGCUUCUGUGGCCAUGUGGUUGACAAUUUCAUUCUCAAAUCAUGUGAACUAACUAGCCACAAAAACUGCAAUCUAUGCACAUAAUAAAUUUAAGCACCUUUUCCUUCCUUACAGCUCAAUGUCAAAAGUGGAGUAGUCCACAAAUUUUGUGUCUUCUACAGUUUAGGUACCCGUUUUUUUUCUUAUAAGAAAAUUGCACAUGUUCUGGUACCCGUAUUUUGUUGAAUAUAUGCCAUAUAUUCGAACUUGUUAGUUUCAAAUCAUUGUUGAGCAAGCUUUCUGUUAUGCUAAGGUUAAUUGUCUUCUUCAAGAUAUGAGCAUCUUCUCUUCACGAUAAGAAAUGUUGAGCACUUGAAUAAGAGGCGUGGUCAGUGAACAAUAGUGUCAUGCCAGGCACAAUCAAGGAUCUGAAGAUUCAAAUACUUCUAAAUUUGGAGAAUUGUAGACAUAACUGACUUUACUAGACUUAGUUUUUUAGUUAUCGCUUUGUCGUACUUAUUCUUGGUACCAAGUUUAAACAAUAUACAGAGAAGGUCCAAAUAUACCCUUAUACUAUGCAAAAUUGAGCAGAUUUACCCCACAUUAGUACUUUAGUUCACUUAUGCCCUUACCGUCAAAUACUUGGUCCAAAUACUAUGCGCAAUUGAGCAGAAUAAGGGCGUAUUUGGACCAAGUAUUUGAUGUUAAGGCUUAUGCAAAUUGAAGUAUAAACGGAGGAAAAAUAUGCUCAAUUUCACAUAGUAUGAGGGUAUAUUUGGACCUUUCCAGAACAAUAUAUUGUAUCCAGGGGACAAGUUAGCUCAUAGGGUUGAUGCUAGUACUCUGCAGCAUAUGCGUGAAUUGGCUUGCUGAACUGAUCUUGCUUAGGGUGGGUGAAGAAGGGUAUCCAAUUGAAAUCUAUGCACUUCUUUUUCUAUUUUUUCUCUUAGAUGUGCUCGGCACCGAGCGCCCGGAGAUUGAUUGAAAAAGCAGGCCCUGCCUACCCUCUCUCCCUACUUGUCCCAAAGAAGUAUUUCUUCACUUUAUUUUUCAAAACUAGAAUUUCGUAUAUCAAUAAAUUAGGCUCUUUAUAAUAUUUUGAAGGAAUAAUUCAUGGGAAAGUGCCAUUUAAAGGAAAAUAAAGUAGCCACUCAUUUUUACAUUCACUGGAAAGUACUUUAAUGACAAUAAUCAAAGAUUUUUUUCCAUGCUUUAAUCUUAUUUAUGAAAGUAAUUUUCGAUGUGUAAAUGACCAGAUUUUGCAUUACAGGAUAUGCACUUCUAAGGUUUACUCAACUUACGAUGACUUCAUAUUACACUGCUUCAAGUGCCUCACAUUACAGAAUAUCAUUGCUUACCAGACGUAUUGAGGAGGCCCAUACUUCUAGUGUUCAACCUAAAAGACUCACCUGAUUGACUUGAGGUGCACAAAAUCAGAGCCAAACUUUACUUCAAAUUUUGCAACGAAUUAUAUAUAGUUGGAGCAACUGUCAAUUCAAAAGAUGCAUGUUCAUUGCUUUGGUGACUUCUCUUUUGAUAAAAUAUAUAGUUUUUACUUUGUAAUAAUAGGAAUGUUUAAACUUGGAAGAAAACACUUGAGCUUCUGUCAAAACUGGAUCUUGUAUCUAAGUGCUUUGUAUUAGAACAAAAUGCCUUGUCAUUGUUUGUAAAUUGGUACAUCCUCAUCGAUGCUAACUGUGACUAAAGAGCCCUUUAAUUUUUUUUUAGGUCGAGAGUUUUCUACCCCACAAAGGUACGGGUAAGAUGUGCAUACAUCCUACCUUCAGACUCGACUUGUGGAAUUACACUAGGUAUGUUGUUGUUGUAGUCACUUCUCUAUUACUAACUUUAUAUCUCCGAAGGCUGCAGGAGUGUGGGGUUAAAGAGAGAAUUUUAUGGCCUGACUUGCACAACAUGUUUUGGACCAAGUAUUUGACGCUAAGGGCAUUAGUGAUUUGAAGUAUUAACGGAGGGAAAAUAUGCUUAAUUUCGCAUAGUAUGAGGGUAUAUUUGGACCUUUCCCGAACAAUAUAUUGUAUCCCGAGGACAAGUUUGUGUUAGUACUACGCAGAAGAUGUGGCUAAUCGUCGUCAUUUAGAGACAAAGAAGCCAGAUGACAAGCUAGAUAUAUUGUAUCUAAUUUUGUUUCUACUUUCAAAUUAUAAAUCAACUUAUCGGAGAAAAGGCCUGCUUCCAGUUAUUAUUAUUUUAAGAUGGAAUGUAUGUAGGCUUGAAAGGCUCACUCUCUUUCCUUUGUGAAGACAUAUGUAAUAGUGCGUGUCUUGAAAAUACUUGGCCUCUCAGUAUGUGUGUUAUUUUAAAUGAAAAUUGUGCUAGCUUUCUUUUACCCAAUCCUAGAAGCUGAGUUUAUCACUGGGGUUGGAGACUGAGUUUGCAGUAGUUUAUAAAUUCUGGAAGCUUAGUCUUCCCUUAGCUCUUCAUUUGACCAAGUUAAUAAUCCCUCUUAGUGCUUUGUGGUUAACUAUGUUAUAAUUUUCCAGGUGAUUGAUAACGUUCAAGAAGAAACAAAAAGCCGUGUAGGUACUACUUUGGACUAUUAAUUAUCAGGAAUUGUUAUAACCAACUUCUAAUUAGCUAUUGGAUCAAUGUGGGGUUUGUUGAUUUUACAAAUACUGCCCUACUAGCCUAGAAUCAGUGUGAGAAAAUGGUCAAAUGACCCCUUAACGUAUAUCCGAAUUUUCAACUACACACUUAAACUUCACGGGAGUCCUAUCACCCCUCUGUACUGUUUAAAAUUGAAAUUAUUACCUCCUUAAAUGCUUAGCUGGCAUAGUGAGUGUAUUUCACUUUCUUUGGGAGUGUGAGUAUCAAAUAUAUUAUUAAAACUUUAUUUCUAAUCUCUUUUCAAUAAAUAUAUGCAUUUUUAAUUAUUUAUUUUUCUUAUUUGUUUUCUUUCUUCCCCAACAAUAUAAACAAAUCUCUCAAUUUUUCACCACCUCUAAGUCUUGCUGCCCAUCUUCACUGGAUUCACUAUUGUUGAUUCCAAACAAAUUUCAAACUCAUAUAAAACUCUUGCAAAAUAAAUCAACCUAAAUCAAUUGUAGAUAAGUUUACAUAUAUUUAUAUCACCCCAAGAUUCUUUGGAUUCGAUUUGAGAAAAAUCAAUAUGGGUUUACUUCAAAUCCAAUUGAACCCACCGAUUUUUAUUUUUUACUAAUAGAUCCUUUAAUUAUCAAUCUCAAAUCUCAAUCAAUCAACUAUAUCUCAAACAUUGUUGCUAUUAAUCUCGUUAAUUCAUCAAUCGUCGUAGAGCCAGUCUCUUUCUCUUCGAAAUUGUUGUCGCAAUCGAUGAUGAUGUGGAAGACAUCGUAGGCUCCUCCUCCUCAUCUUCCUUGAGAGGAUUACUUAUCUUCGGUGACCACCAUUAAUGGCAAUAUUUUUCCAUGUUCGUCUUCUCUCCCGCCUUCAUUUUUUUUAAACUUGAUUUUUAGGUUUUAAAUGAGCAAAACCCGAAUAUCUCUGGAUAAGCUCUGAAAUCAUUAUUCACCUUUCUUCCUUAAAGACCCAAUUUCAUGGACUUAUGGUGUUCUAGUAAUGGUGAAAGUACUUUGGGUGUGUGAAGGGAUGGGUAAGAAUAUAGAAGAAAAGGGUAAAUAAAUAUAUAAAAAAAAAAUUAAAAAUAUUUGAUGAGGUGUCAAACGCGUGAAACUCACAUGCCACCAUAGAUCUGGUUAUGUCCUUUUAAGGGUAUAAUUAUUUCAUCUUUAAACAGUUCAGGGGACUGAUAGGACUCCCGUGAAAUUUAAGUGUGUAGUUAAAAAUUCGAAUAUACGUUGAGGGGCAUUUGGCCAUUUUCUCUAUCAGUGUCUGAGCAUUCAGCUUAAUUAGUAUAUUUUUAAAUCCUUUUGCAGAUAGAAAACCACCUGGUAUCGGUGGACGAGGAAGGGGAAGAGGAGGUAGGGAUGAAGGUGCUGUUGGAAGACAGGCGAAAGACAUUGGGCGUGGAAUGGAAGAUGCAGGUGCCAAAGGCCGGGGCAAAGGAUGACCUGGUGCCAAGUCUGGUGGAAAAGGUAUGAAGUGUUCAAUAUGCAAGUUAUAAUGUAAUUUUAUUCUCGUUCUGCUAAAGCUUAUGUAUCCCUGAGUCUCAAUCCGCAGCGACCAUGUUCAACACUUGAAAUUAGUCUCCAUACAGCAAGUCUCUUUAUGUUGUAACAGUCCUCAAGUAUAUUUGUGAACGCAAUAUUUAUAUAGCCAUUUGCUAAUCAGAUGAUUCUGGAUGGUAUUUAUUGUACAGGUGGUGGCCGUGGACGUGGCUAAUCAUCGUCAUUUAGAGACAAAGAAGCCAGAUGACAAUCUAGAUAUAUUGUAUCUAAUUUUGUUUCUACUUUCAAAUUAUAAAGCAACUUACCGGAGAAAAGGCCUGCUUCCAGUUGUUAUUACUUUAAGAUGAAUGUAUGUAGGCUUGAAAUGCUCACUCUCUUUCCUUUCUGAUGACAUGUAAGAGUUCGUGUCUUGAAAAUAUUUGGCCCUCAGUAUGUGUGUUAUUUUAAAUGAAAACUGAGCUAGCUUUUUCUUUACCCAAUCCAAGAAGCUGGAUAUCUAGUUAAAGACGCCUUUCACUUUAUACUUAGAAUGUUAAAUAACACGAGUAAAUAUUUCUGUACUUAAGAUUAGGGAGGCAAACAUUUGGUUUUAUCUAUUAUUUUCCAAAAGAUAUGAUUAUUGCUUCUUUAUUUGUAGGUAGUGGCGUAGCCAAGAAUUUUAUUAAGGGGGUCCAAACUUUGAAUAGUAAUUUUAUUUUUAAUAAAUGAUGAUUAGAGAUUUUAUUUUUAAUAAUAUUGUGAUAUAAUUUGGGUAAAUUGGCCUCCUAUUUAUAGAGAAAAAAAAUCUUAUUCCAAAAGGAAAAUGUAUUAAAAUUUAAAAAAUCUUAUUCCACAAAGGAAAAAGGUAUUAAAAUAUAAGGAAAUCUUAUUCCACAUGGAAAAGGUAUGAAAAUUUAAGGAAAUAAUCCAAUUUUAAUUGAAAAAAAAUACUUAUUGGAGGUGAGUUUUGAACUUGGGUCAAUCAAGACAAGCAUAACACUAUUUACCACUAAGCUAGGGAAUCAAACUAGGGUGGAGAGUAGGUUUGCAACACCUCUAGCCAUCUCCAGUAUGGAUUACUUUGUUAUUUUAGGGUGUCCAAAAUACAAUAUAUAUCAAUAUAAAUCAAAACUUUACGUGUAUAUAUCAUAUUUUUCAACGAAGGGUGUCCAAUUGGACACCUUGAGGACAAGGUGGCUUCGCCCCUGUUUGUAGGUUUCAAGUAAUGCCAAAUUUGGAUGAGAUUUGGAAGUUCUAAACUUUUACGAUUAAAUCACACUUCCCUCUGAAAUGCAAGGUCAUUCAUUAGAAACAAAAAUCUCAAGGUUCAAGUUGAUGGAAAAUGUUCCAAGUUUUAUGUUUUCAUCAAUCAGUACUAGAUGAUAUAGAGCAGGAGAAUGUGUAGCUGAGAUUUUGCAGAAUGAGUAUUUUUAACAAGAAAAGCUUAGAAUGACAACAUUCUGAUGUGUCAUCACCGUAGCAAGACCCACAAACUUCUAAUCCAGAUCCUUUUGGUCCUUUUGGAAUGCAGGUUGACAUUUUGAACUUGAAGUAUAUAUUUCUUCCAUUAUAAUGGAUUGGUAUGAAUGUGAUGCUUGUUUAUGUAAUGGCCACCGCAGGAAUAUUUGCAGGUUUCUUCAAUGGCUGGUAUUACGAGGACCCUAAUAACACAUUGGUAUUUCAUUCAUCUCCUCCUCACUUUGAUAUGCUGCAGUCCAUUGUAUACAAAUAGUUAGAGGCGGAUUCAGGAUUUAAACAUUAUGGGCAGAGUUUGAAAUUCUACCACAACAGAUAGGUUACUGGGUUUCGAAAUUUGUACUUAUAUGGUGAAUUUCUUAGCACAAACAAAGUUACUUAUGCAGUACAUCUGCCUCUAGCCAUCUGCUUUCUGCAGCCAGUUGUCAAAACUUAAAUAGGCCAUACGACAAUUGUUGCUUCUGGUUUUGCUUACAAUCUCUGACAGAUAGGAUCGAAAAUAAGAAGUGAACUCAGUUCAAUGUUUUCUCCUGUAUGAGUUCAUAGUUGUGCAAGUAAAAUGAUUGAACUUACUCAACAUUUGCAGAUAUAUUGGAUCAAAAAGCACAUCUUCAUUGGAGUGUGGCAUUCAACAAGAGUGGGAACACUUCUUUAUGUCAUCUUUGCUGAGAUAUUGUUUUGGGCUAUUGUUGUUGGCCUACUUCAUCGAUUAGGCGUAUACUGGAAUCUUUAGUUCUGAUGAAAUUUGCCUCUUUUGCUUGAUUGUUAUCUUAAAGGAGUAAUUUCCCUAGAUAGUCACCCAUGUUUGGGAAAUUACCUAGUAAUAUCACUUAUGUUUGUUUUAGGACUACAAUAUCACCCAACUUUACAUAUUUUCCUCAAAAUAUACUUGACACAAAAAAACAUUAUCUCUCUCCUAAUGGGAUGCCAUGUCACUUUUUUUUAAUUUAUUAAUAAUAUCUUUUUUAAUUCUUUAAAUGUCUGUAGGCUCCUAAUACUAAGUAGUUUAGUUGUGGAAUGCCUACAUUAGGAAUUGAAGUGUUUGCGCCCCUGCUUGUAUGUAGUGUUUGCGCCCCUGUUGUGUGUCUAUUUAUUUCAAACAUUUAACCACCAUUAUAAAUCGAGGUUUAUUUUAAUACAAAGGAAAUAACAAUUUAGAUAGAUAAAGAAAAUAAUAGAUUGUUAAAAUACGAAAUUUGUGUUUCAAUUGCAUACUUAAACUUUUCACCCUUCAUUAAGUUAAGUACGAAAUUACAAUUUUAUUUUUGAAUUAAUUGUUGCAUAUAUAAUCGUAAAGCUAAAACCAUGUCGAUUCUCGCAAGAAAUCAAGAGCGGAGCUAACCUUCGGUUACACAUAAUUUAGUUAUAUUUACGAUUUUAAAAUUAUUAAAAAUAUAUAUAAAAUAUUGAUUUAGAACUCUCUACUUUAAAGAAGUAAAAUUUAAAACUUACAUGUAUGCUUAAAACUAGACACACGUGUCUAUGCUAACACGAGCCCAAUAUCUAUUAUUUUAAUUUAUGUGAUAUCGAUAGAAUUUAGAAAGUUGAUUAAAUUUUAAUAUGAUUUUAGAUAUUUUAAGUUGUUAGUUACUUUUUGUUUGCGCAAAUUUUAAUGUGAAGAGGUUCAUUAAGAUGUCCAUAAUUAAAGUAUUUUUCGUCAUCGAUCAUUGAUUUUAUACUCAAAGUAGCUACAAGCUUAAGAUAUUACCGACAUCCAAAAUAAUAAAGCUACAACUAAAGAAUAUGAAUUUAAAACUAAAAGAUAUAACUUAAAGAAUUAAAAAAAAAAUUAUUAAUAAAUUAAAAAAAUGUGACAUGGCAUCCCAUUAGGAGAGAGAUAAUUUUUUUUUUUUGUGUCAAGUAUAUUUUGAGAAAAAUAGGUAAAGUUGAGUGAUAUUGUAGUCCUAAAACAAACAUAGUGAUAUUACUAGGUAAUUUCCAACAUGGAUGACUAUCUAGGGAAAUUACUCUUAUCUUAAGAUAAGAUAUAACAUUGUAUGUACUUGAAACUAGAAAAAGCUUCAGCUAGACAUGAAUCUCAGUUUGAUUUCUCUGUGAUUAAGAAGUUCAAUACAUCUAGCAGAAUAAACGAACAAUACAGAUAAAGCUAUUCUUUUCCUAUUAUCAAUUCGGGGUGGGGCAUACAAAAAGUGCUUUGGAGCCCAAAUGAAAGGCGUAGAUCCAAUAGAAGAAUUUGGGGCAUAAGCCGUUUUAAAUUUGAUGUUUGGGGCAUUAUGUGCUAAAAUUCAAAAAAAUCUUGGACUUUGACUUAUAGAGUUUGAAAUAGAUACCUUAUGUAACGAAGUGGUAAACUAGGUAUCAUGAGAGAAUAUUAUUUAAUCAAUGGAAAAAGUUGAAAUUCGAACAACAAAAAUUGCAACAAAAAAAGUAUAGUUUUGCCUUUAAAAGUUUCAAACUUUUUUUUUUUAGUUAACUAGAUAUUAUUAUUAGCAAAGAAGCUUAAGUAACAUUACAAAAUAAGGGAAUAGUACUAAUCCCGUUAUAUAUUGUAGCAUUGGUUGCUAUGAAAUUACUAUUAUGAGUCAAAAUUUCCCUUGCAAACGUAGUUCCUAGUAUAUCUGCCCAAGCUUUGCGAACAUCAAAGCAACUUGCAAAACUCUUGUGCGAUCAAAUAAUUGCUUCUUGGCCCCUUUUCUUGGCUAAGAGGUCAACUACUUUGUUUUGUUAUGUUUUCUAUAGGUAUGUGAGAGUUUUGGAUCUUCCAAUAGUUACAUCAAUGAUCUGCAUUCAUGAAUUAUAGAGCUAUAAAAUUUGUUAUCAUUAUUAAUAAAAUGUAUUAUCUCGAUUAAGUUUGUGGAGAUUUCCAAAGACAUCAAGUUAUUAUCUUUUGCAAUCUAAGUCUCUGCAUAAGAGGUAAUAAUUUCAUUAGAGUAUUAAUACUACUUGAAAUACCCUUCAUAAAGCCUAGUAUCCAAUCACCUCUAUUAUUACGUAUAAGUCCUCCAAUACCCUCUGCACAAUGUUAGAGUUUCACCUUUAAAAGGUCAUGUAUUACAAUACAUUAUAUUGGAGUUCCACCAGGAGAAAAAAAUUUGGACUCCAAAGCAAUUUCUUGUUUUAGGUAAUGAUAUUUAUCUUUUAUCCAUUUUUUAAAAAUUUGCCCUAGGCUUUUUUGCUUUCUGGCGGGCCGAAAAGGUACUGGGCCAAUAAUGGGCCAGUACCAACAGCAUUGAGACGGCCCAUGUAACAAUAUUUUUCUUGGAGAAGAAGACUGCAAAUAUUGGCAUCCAAAAAGAAGAGAAUAUAAAGCUUUUCGACUGUACAAGCCUACACAGAUCGACUCCUUCUCACCAAUUUCUGCCCGGAAUCCCAUACAAACACAAUCUCUGUCGACGAUGGCAACGCCGAUGGCUGAGGAUAGCAACUUCGAAGAUGACCAGCUCCAUGCUAUGUCCACUGAAGAUAUUAUUAGGGCUUCACGCCUUCUUGACAAUGAAAUUCGAAUCAUAAAGGUUCCGAUCUCUCUUAUUUUACCCUAAUCACAGUUAUCAUGAGUUAUUUUGUGUUUGUUGAAUGUUUUGUUUUGUCUAUUUGUAUCAAUUUGGGGCUUUACCGAGGAGAUUGACUAAUUGACUUGAAUGGUGAAUUAUAGGAAGAGCUGCAGAGGACGAAUCUAGAGUUGGAUUCAUUCAAGGAGAAGAUAAAGGAGAACCAAGAAAAAAUUAAGCUCAAUAAGCAACUUCCUUACUUGGUCGGCAACAUUGUUGAGGUGAGUAAUUAGGUUUUCCUCAAAUUAGUAUCCCUCUUGCUUCGACGUCUAUUUUAGCAAGUGAUAUUUACACAAUAGGAAAAAAAGAAUUUUAUUUUUAGAAAAUGAAGCUCAAUAAGCAACUUCGUUAUCAGUUACUUGAUCGGCAACAAGUUGAGAUGAGUAAUUAGGUUUUCAUCAAUGAGUAUCUUUCUUGUUUUGACGCCUAUCUUUAGCAAGAGUGUAGUGCAGAGAGGGUUUAGGACGUCUUUGAAUAUUGGGAUUGACUACAUUGAACUUGAAGCCUGCUGUGCAGUAAGUUUAUGUACCACAUCAUGCUUUUUAUUGUGUAUUCAGCAUACAUUUCACAGGGCUUAUAUAUUCUUGGCUUUCAAAGAAUGUAUUUUUAUCCCCUCAUGAUGGCAGAGUAUAAUGAGUAACCCUUGUUGUAGGCAGGAACUUUAGAUUAUGGGAUAGUGACAAGUACCAAUAGUGCUAUUACAGAAGGUGUGUGGGUCUUUGGUUGCACAAAAAUAGGACGAGGAAUUUGGGUAAUUCAUUAGCAAUUGUUUCAUCAACAGGAAGAGUACUGUAACAUGCUAAAUUUUCAAUGCCAGAAGUAAGAUGUUAAGAAUUUACAAAAGUAAAAAAUGGAGGUUUCUGAGGGACUCAAAGGAACAGCUUCUUUGUGAUGAUAUCUCAAGUAUAAAAGAAUUGUUGGAUCGGUCCUUGCUCCUAGUCACUUUAUAAGUUGAUUUGAAACAUCUCUUGUGCUACGGCAAAAGAAUUUAGUAGUUCGCAACUUUUAGGAUGUGUUUCGGUACCUGACUAAAUAUAUAUAUCUUUUGUUUGGAAUAAUUUAAUGUCGCGAAAUAAUUUUCUCUAUAACACGGACUAUCGACGAACUAACAUUCUAAAGAUGCAUAUAUUGUUGUGGAUUUUAGUUGGAGCAUAUAUAUAUAUAUAUAUAUAUAUAUAUAUAUACACGGACUAUCAACAAACUAACAUUCUAAAGAUACAUAUUGUUGUUGAUUUUAUUUGAAGCAUUUUCUUGUUCAAUUAGUUGAAGAGUUCGCGGAAAAAUUAAUUGAAGUGUCAAUAUAUAUAUAUAUAUAUAUAUAUAUAUUUGGAAUAAUUUAAUGUCACGAAAUAAAUUUCUCUAUAACUCGGACUAUCGACAAACUAACAUUCUAAAGAUACAUAUAUUGUUGUUGAUUUUAUUUGAAGCAUUUUCUUGUUCAAUUAGUUGAAGAGUUCGCGGAAAAAUUAAUUGAAGUGUCAAUAUAUAUAUAUAUAUAUAUUUGGAAUAAUUUAAUGUCACGAAAUAAAUUUCUCUAUAACACGGGACUAUCAACAAACUAACAUUCUAAAAGAUACAUAUUGUUGUUGAUUUUAUUUGAAGCAUUUUCUUGUUCAAUUAGUUGAAGAGCUCGCGGAAAAAUUAAUUGAAGUGUCAAUAUAUAUAUAUAUAUAUAUAUUUUGGGAAAUAAUUUAAUGUCACGAAAUAAAUUUCUCUAUAACUCGGACUAUCGACAAACUAACAUUCUAAAGACUACAUAUAUUGUUGUUGAUUUAUUGAAGCAUUUCUUGUUCAAUUAGUUGAAGAGUUCGCGGAAAAAUUAAUUGAAGUGUCAAUAUAAGUAUAAAAACUGCAUUUUUGGGAGGGUAUAGAUGGGAAAAUAUGUAUCUCUAGUCCAUCCUCCUAUUUCUGUUUCUUUUUUUUUUUUUGUGAAGAAAGAAAAUAGGAGGAUGAUCAAGAGAAACAUAAUUGGGCAGGACAGAAGGAAAUGACCAUUAUGCUUCCUUUUCUUCAGUGCUUGAAUCUGUUUUUCAGUAGAUUGAGGUCUUAUGUUUCAUAACACAUUGAACUGUGAGGAUGCAAAUUUUGAAUUUCUUUGCGUUUUUGUUUUGGGGUAUUAGGAAUAUGGGUUCAUGGAAGUAGUAGUAGGGAAGUCUAGCUUUGAGGAACUCAUUUAUUUCCGGUCUUUUUCAGAUUUUGGAAAUGAAUCCUGAAGAAGAAGCUGAGGAGGAUGGUGCAAAUAUUGAUCUCGACUCACAAAGGAAGGGCAAGUGUGUUGUACUGAAAACAUCCACGCGCCAGGUAAGGUGUCAAAUUAUAGGAUUACAUCAUUUGCUUCUAGGUGUUUAUUGUCGGUGUUACUAUCCAAAAUUCCCUUCAUCUAUUUCUCUUGAAUGGAAUUGGUGAUCUUGUGCUUUAUCCUUCUACCACAUCUUUUUUGGGUUAUACACUGUUUAGAUGCUAAAGUUCUUUUACUAAUUGAAUUCUUUUAUUGCCAUUUGUAGACAAUUUUCUUGCCUGUUGUUGGUCUUGUUGAUCCUGACAACUUAAAACCUGGUGAUCUGGUUGGAGUAAAUAAAGACAGUUAUUUGAUAUUGGACACCUUGCCAUCUGAAUAUGAUUCUCGGGUAAAGGCAAUGGAAGUUGAUGAAAAGCCAACUGAAGACUACAAUGAUAUUGGAGGCUUGGAGAAACAGAUUCAAGAACUUGUUGAGGCAAUUGUGCUGCCUAUGACACACCAAGAACGGUUCCAGAAAUUAGGUGUUCGUCCCCCAAAGGGAGUCCUUUUGUAUGGGCCUCCUGGGACUGGGAAAACCCUGAUGGCUAGAGCCUGUGCUGCACAAACAAAUGCUACUUUUCUUAAGCUAGCGGGACCUCAGCUUGUGCAGGUAGAUCAUCUUCGACGUUUGAUCCUAUUGUGAUUAGUUGCACUAGAUUUGUACGAAAUUGAACUCUCUUUUGCUCUAUGGUGGGAACCUAGUUUUCCCUCUUUUCAUUGUUCCUGGCAAUUCUAACUAAGAGCUGCUGCAAAGUACACUUGUCUUUUUUUAAGUACAUAUAUUAAAAUUUUAAUAUAUAAGAUGGGUCUCUACUUGAAUAUGUAUGAAACCGGAGGAUUAAUCUAGAGAAAAUGAUAAAAAUGGUCCUUUAUAUCUGGGGUUAGCUCUAAAAUCAUCCUUCUUAUUUACCACUGAACAUGUGUAGUCCUUUAACUUUACCAAAAGGGAGCGUUGGUGGUCUCUGUUUAGUUUUAGGUAAACAGCUCUAACAGACCCUGUGUUAAUCGUCUUCAAAAGCGAAAUUUUAGUUCUUGUUUUUAACUUAUGAUCGUGUAAUUAAGCGCGUAGUAGUUUAUUACAUUUGUUAGAAUAGGAAUAGGUUUAACCAAUCCUAUUAGAAUAGGAAUAGGUUUAUACAAUCCUAUUAGAAUAGGAAUAAGUUUAUACAAUCCUAUUAGAACAGGAAUAGGAAUAGAAAUAGAAAUAGGAAUACUAAAUAGUAUCCUACUUGGUAAAGGAUUGUAUUCUAGGGUCUAUAAAUAGGGUCUCAAUGUAAUAAUGUAAACAACAACAAUUCAAUAAUAUUCUUUUCCAAUAUUUCUCACAGUAACAACCUUUUCUUAGUUUGCCAACUAUAAGGAUACCCAUAUAUCAGUGAGAAACAGUCCUGUUUACUGCCUUUAGGUUUAAGAAGAAUAUGUAUCUCAUGGUAUGAAUUUCAGAAAUCUGCAAGAACAUGAGGUUAAAAGUUCUUGUUUUUUGGCUUAGAAGGUUUUACUUUCGCAACACACAGAAAACCCAUAUCCUGUUGCCUUUACUGUCGUCCACCCAUUCUGUGAAAGUUUGUCAUAACACUUUAAACAGGUUCUUCCUAAAAAUUUCUUUUCCAAUAUUUCUCACAACAUUAUUGUUUGGCUUUCUAAAGUUAGCAACCAACUACUGCAUGGGAACUUUUACAAUUUUCUUAAGUUGCAAUUUAAAGUAAUUGACUCAAAUAUGCUGCUGAUCAAUGCCUGUUCUAACUUUAGAUGUUCAUUGGAGAUGGAGCAAAGCUUGUUCGUGAUGCUUUCCAGCUGGCAAAAGAGAAAUCACCUUGCAUAAUUUUCAUUGAUGAGAUUGAUGCUAUAGGCACAAAGCGUUUUGAUAGGUACUAUAUCUUUGUUUUCCAUUGCUUAUAUAUGUGCUUAACCUUGCAUGCCCAUAAUAUCUUCAGUCUCGGUGCAUACUGGUUAAGGUCUUAAGGAGUAGCGUGUGCUUGCAAAAAAUGAAACUGAUGUGUGUGCUGAUUCUUCUCUUACUGCAUAUGUUGUUCUCUUGCAGCGAAGUUAGUGGGGAUCGAGAGGUCCAACGAACUAUGUUGGAGUUACUUAAUCAGCUUGAUGGUUUUAGCAGCGAUGAUCGGAUUAAGGUUCUGUUCUACUUAAACCCAUUAUAUAUACAUUUUUUUCUUACUUCGUGGUUCGUUGAUCACAAUAUUCUGUUCUUGUUGGUUUCUUGAUUUGAGCUACACAACUGCAAAACCUAAAAUAAAGUGAUCUUUGGUAUUCUGGUUUUUACAUUUUCAUGAAUUGUUUUGGUUUCUUUCCUUCACUUCAGGUGAUAGCAGCAACAAACAGAGCUGAUAUUUUGGAUCCUGCUUUGAUGCGAUCUGGUCGUUUGGAUCGUAAAAUUGAGUUCCCCCACCCCACAGAGGAAGCCAGGGCUCGGAUCCUGCAGGUGGGUAUUCUGCCAUAACAUAUAUCAUUUCUUUUCAUUCCCUUGCCUUGUUAGCUAACACGAAAUGAGUUCUUGAGUAUUUCGCUUUAACAUAUGAGGAUUCUUUGCUGGAACUACUGCAGAUCCAUUCCAGAAAGAUGAAUGUUAACCCAGAUGUUAACUUUGAAGAAUUGGCUCGGUCGACAGAUGAUUUUAAUGGGGCACAGUUGAAAGCUGUAUGUGUUGAGGCAGGCAUGCUAGCACUCCGUCGCGAUGCCACUGAGGUCUCUAUUCUCUAUUCUGCUUCCUGACGGUUACAUAAUUUUUGAACUCAUGAGUCACAAUGAGAUUUAGACUUUUACUUUGGUUUAAUCAAUAAUCUGUAUUAUAUAUAAAAACCUAAUUAAAUUGAACUGGCCUGUUAAGUCUGCCCUUUUUGCAGUUUAACGGUGAUUAAUACGGGUGAUGAUCUUGUAUUCCAUCACAAAAAAUGUGUUAUGAUCUCUAAUACCUUUCUCCAUAUGAUUAAGUUUGUGCUGUGAGAACUAAUCAACUGUGCGAAAAUAAAACCCCAUACUUUUUAUGGUUGGCAAGCUGGAUAGCACUAAUUCUGUCUCCAACCUCUUGCAGGUAACUCAUGAAGACUUCAAUGAAGGUAUCAUUCAAGUUCAAGCCAAGAAGAAAGCCAGCUUAAACUACUAUGCCUAAACUUGCUGCAGGUGCCAUGGCAAGCAGCUUUUAGCUUUUCAAAGUUGAACAUGGCUACUCCAUGCCACACCCCAAACCCCUUUCAGUAUCCCUCCUCUUCUUUCUUUCUGGCCCGGUAGGGGGUGGGGAUAGAAGCUUUGCACAUUAGCCUCUGUGCAAUUCUUGCUUGUUGAUUACUGAUAUCAAAGGUGUCUGGUAGUAUGUGGAUCUCUUCUUGAAUUUGUUCAUUUGUAUACUUUCCUGCUGUAUGACUUUAAUGACCUAGAAUAGCCUUGAGCUAUGUUGGCAAUUGAGAUUGGUUAAUUGGAACUUGAUCUUUAGUUUUGGACAAUAGCUACCCAAAAUAAUAUCCUGUCUUAUAUGUGUUUGUGACUGGGGAUGACUUAGUUGCAGCUCCAACCUUGUUUGUUGUGUUGUGGCACACCUGAACCUGAUAGGAAAAUUCACCAAAUUGGUCUAGUGAUACCAGCAAUCUUCUAAGAGGCUGGUUCCCAUACCCCUUUUUAUCAAGAGGGACUCAGACCUGUGUUUUGACCACCUAACCUCUAUAGGAGACUCUGGUUCUGGAGGUCACACAGACCAAACUAACCCUUAGUUCUUUGGUUUUUCUUAAUUAAAAUGCAAUGUUACAAUUAUUAUUAAUGUAUCGAAAAUGAGGCAAAAAAUUGUCAACCGUAGUAACAUGACUUGACGAGAAGGCAGGUUUACUAAUUUAAGCGCACAACUUUCCGCAAUAUCAAUUUUGCAGUACGAUUAUUAGUGACAUUGGUGGUGGUGUUAUGAAAGAAACCAGUUUUUUUGGGAAAAGUUUCUUCGAAUAACUGUCAUAUUGUAAUAUCGAAGUAAGAUGGACUUAUAUAUCAAGGGAGCAAAUUCCAGAUAAAAGAUUCUUUUAAAAGAACAAAAAUAAAUAUACCUAUUGAAGAAGGAAUCAAAUUGUUCUUGUUCCAUCUAAAACUAUUCUUAAACGUAAAAAAAAAAAAAAGACUUCUCAAGAAUAAAUAUAGGUUUCAAGGGUUAUACAUUUUCCCAAAAUUUGUCCAAUAUUGAUUACAUUAUACAUACUAGCAUUCAAAGAUUAAAUAAGCGUGUCAAUAUUUAACAUUGGGCACGGUUUUUCUUCUUUUUUUUUUCCUUGUCGGUGUCCACUAAUUGUAUUGAAGUCUGAUUAAUUCUCCUCGUUCCUUUUACCUAUGCCAUGAUGCUCAUGGACAGCCUAUCUCUAAUUGGAUUUCCUUAUCUUUCUUCUUCAAAUUACGAGUUGAGAUUUGGGGAGAGUGAAUAGGACAGGGUGGUGGAUGAUGUAAAGGAAGGGAAGGCUCAUCCCGUGCUACCUAUUUGAGGAAAGGGCUUCGUAUCUAAGAGUUUUGGAUUUGCGUUGUGUAAGACCCACACGGGGAAAGCGCUUUCUUGCUAAUAUUUUUUCAUAUUCAAGACUUGAAAUCAAGACUUCUAUUAAAAUUAUUGCUUACACUCUUGGUUCUAAUUCAUUUAACACACUUUCAACUUUAAUCCUCUCAAACAAAUGUCACAUUUUAUAAAAUUUCAAGAGAAUCUUUUAUUUUCUAAUUAACUAAUUUACUAAGGGGCCGUUUGGUUGCUGGUUAGAGUUAUGCAGGUAUUAGUAAUGCAAGUAUUAGUUAUGCAUGUAUUAGUAAUGCAGGUAUUAGUUAUGCAGAGUUUAAUAAUUUUUUUGGGUGUUGGUUUGUUAUAUUAAAAAUUAAUAAACAUUAUAUACUUUGUUAAAAAUAAAUUAUUUGUUAUUGUUAUAUCUUAGACCUUUCUUGCCGUUGUAUUUUUAUUUAUUUUCUACAUUUUGCUUAGGCAAUAUUUUGGACAGAAACUUAAAUGCCACAUUUUUCAACUUCCUCAUAUAGUUGAACCGAUGUAUAUAUAUGACACGUGUUAACACGGGACCAAUAUUGUAAUAGUUGAAACUUAUGGUUAUGCUAGUACAUAUAAUUCUGUGUACAUAUUACAAAAAUAGAUAAAUAUAAGUUAGCAUUUGAGCAACACCACAUACUAAUGCUAGAUAUUAUAUUUGGAGCCUUUACUUCAAUAAUCUAUAAUAUAGAAAUGAGGAAGUUUGUUUUUUUCUAUUUGAUGAAGGAGAUCAUAUUUACAAAAGUCUUGGCAAGAACUAGUGGAAGCUCCAGAGCUUACUUCAAGCAAUGUCAUUGAUAUGCACAUUGAUAGAUAUGGCUUACUUCCAAUGGCAAGAACCAUUACUUCCAACAAAACAAUCUAUUGUUGGACACUAUCCUCAACAAUUAUCGACAUAGACAAUAUCCUCAACAAUUUGAAUGUCUACUUAAUUUUCAAAAUAUAAUGGAGUACAUUCCCCACCUAGUGGGAUUUCACUGGGUAUGUUGUUGUUUGUUGUUGUAAUAAUGGAGUACAUUAAAUCUAAAUUUCAGUUUCGUCAUACUAAAUAAUUCAUUCAGUUACAAUUUUCACAUACUGCCAUAUCCUAAAAUUGAGAGUUCAUUUUUCAAGCAACAAAAUAGUGACAAAAUAAAUUUUAUAAGAUGAAGAAUACAACAAAUCUAACAUAUACCAUUGAGACAAACCUGAAAUUCUAGUACCGUUGCCUCACGGAAUCAAACUAGACCCACCUUCAUUAAACAUGAAAGAAACUUAUAUAAUUCAUUGUUAAAUUAUAUAAACUGGCACAUAAAACAUAGGCAAAAUAAAACUUAACUAUGCCAUGGUUAUACCUUACAAAGUAGCUACACCAAAAACCAUUCAAAGGUUUAAAGUUUAUCAUCAAUGAUCAGUCAUACCAUAGUGUAACGAUCAAGCUCAUUGAUGCUUAAAAAGCACUCCAUGAACUUUGUGUUGCUCCAGCUGAUACACUAGGUUCCCCUUGAGCAAUUUGAUCUUCUUUUUUUAGCUGGAGCAUCAUCUUCUUCGACAACAAUAAUAGGAAAUUCAAAACACAUGUUAUUAGCAACUUCUUGAGCUUCAAUUCUUUCUAUUUCUUGAACACCAACUUCUGGACCCCUCGGCAGAUUGUUUAGUAGCUCCAUCCUUGCGAAAUAUCUCUUCCCAAUCAGCAAAUAAUGGCCAUUUUUUAAAUGUCAUUGAUUUGGCAUAUGGAUCCACCUAAGAAAAAAAAGAAACAAGUAUAUGAAGUAACUGAUAAUAUUCCAAAGACAGAGAUUAUAAUUCAACCAAGAGAAAAUAUAACUAACUAGCUUUAGUUUGCUAAUAAUAUAAACAAUUGUAAAUCACCUUUAUGAAGUCAUCUCAAGCUUUUGGAUCGUCAACCAAGAUAGUUCCAUCGUUGUAUCGAAUUCCUAAGCCACUUCGACUUUUUACCAACGAUAGGAUCAUAUAAUACUUUUUCCACCCUCUUAUUUUUGAAAAACAUAUGUGGUAGAGCUUGCAAUCCACAAUUAGGAUGACAAACAAUCAUGUGUUGUUCAAGUUCCAUCAAAUAUCCAUGUUUAAAGGUUCCAUCAUCUUCUUUCCAAUCAUUAGCACACAACUUUUUUAAUCCAUCAACUAGAGUGAGUUCCUCUUCUUGAGUCCACACCCUUGCCCUUUUUUGAGACAUGUCAGACCUUCUUUUAGUGGGACUGCCAAUUUUAAUCUAUUAGAAUGUAAAAAAUCAUAAUUUAUACUAACUUAUGAUUCACUACAAAAGUAUACUAACUUAUUUUCACAUAUAUUGCAUUUGUCUCUCACCAAAUUUACAAGAGAAAAAAAAAACAAUAGUAUAAGAAGAAGACGAAAGCAUAAGAAAAGGCUAAGAUUUCAAAAAGUUUCUAACCUCAAAGAAAGAAUUUAGAUUGAGCGUUCUUCAAGAUUUGCCUCUUAGAAGAUAAUGAAAUUGUAGAUCUAUAAAAAUGCAUAUAAUGUAUCUGAUUGUAUUUAAUUAGAAGUAAUGAAGGGUCACCAUUAUCUAUCUACCAUACACAAUUGAAAUGGUCAGCAUUGGAGGUAAUAAAUUCAUCCAUCAUUUGGUUAGAAAUGGAAGAUUAAUGCAAUUCUAAGAAGUGAAUGACAAUUGAAUGGUAAUCAUGUUAUGGAUUCUGAAGUAAGACUUUGAGCAACUAAUGACACAAAUAGGCUUACCAGAUUUUAGAAUUGUUGGAAAACCAUUUGGACUAAAUUUCCAAGUUAAAACGUCUAAUUGCACAAACUUAAAACGAAAGCCUUGAAACCUAAACCAGACAUCCUACUAGACCAAAAAUUACCUUCUGGAUCUAACCGCGCUGGCGGAAUUCUCAUCCGAUCACUUUUACUAAGAAUAUUGACUGAAGUUGAACUUUGAGUAAAUUUCCAAGUUAAAACGCCUAAUUGCACAAACUCAAAAUAGAAGCCUCGAAAUCCAAACCAACCAUGCUACUAGACCAAAAAUGACCUUCCAAACCUAUCCGUGCUGACGGAAUUCUCAUCCGAUCACGUUUUACCAAGAAUAUUGAAUGUAGUCGAACUUUGACUAAAUUUCCAAGUUAAAACGCCUAAUUGCACAAACUCAAAAUGGGAGCCUCGAAACCCAAACCAACCAUCCUACUAGACUAAAAAUGACCUUCCAGAUCUAACUGCGCUAACGGAAUUCACAUCUGAUUACCUUUUACUAUGAAUAUUGACUGAAGUCGACCUUUGACUGAAUUUCCAAGUUAAAACACCUAAUUGCACAAACUCAAAAUGGAAGCCUCGAAACCCAAACCAACCAUCCUAUUAGACCAAAAAUGACCUCCAGACCUAACCACGCUGACGGAAUUCUCAUCUGAUCAUGUUUUACCAAGAAUAUUGAAUGUUGUCGAACUUUGACUAAAUUUCCAAGUUAAAAUGCCUAAUUACACAAACUCAAAAUGGGAGCCUCGAAACCCAAACCAACCAUCCUACUAGACUAAAAGUGACCUUUUGAAUCUGACCGCAUUGAUGAAAUUCUCAUACGAUCACAUUUUACUAAGAAUAUUGACUGAAGUAGAACUUUGACUAAAUUUCUAAGCUAAAACGCCUAAUUGCACAAACUCAAAAUGGAAGCCUCAAAACCCAAACCAACCAUCCUACUAGACCAAAAAUGACCUACCAUAUCUAACCGCGCUAACAAAAUUCUCAUCCGAUCAUGUUUUACCAAGAAUAUUGAUUGAAGUUGAACUUUGAGUAAAUUUCCAAGUUAAAAUGCCUAAUUGCACAAACUCAAAAUGGAAGCUUCGAAACGCAAACCAAACAUCCUACUAGACCAAAAAUGACUUUUUGGAGCUAACCGCGCUGACAAAAUUCUCAUAUGAUCACGUUAUACCAAUAAUAUUGACAUAAAUCAAACUUUAACUAAAUUUCAAAUAUCUUGGUAAAAUGUGACCAGAUGAGAAUUACGUCAUCUCGGUUAGCUCCGGAAGAUCAUUUUUAGUCUAGUAGGAUGAUUGGUUUGGGUUUUGAGGCAUCCAUUUUGAGUUUGUGCAAUUAGGCGUUUUAACAUGGAAAUUUAGUCAAAGUUUGACUUUAGUCAAUAUUCUUAGUAAAACGUGAUCGGAUGAAAAUUACAUCAGUGUGGUUAGAUCCGAAAGUUCAUUUUUGGUCUAGUAGGAUUUUUGGUUUGCAUUUUGAAGCUUCAAUUUUGAGUUUGUGCGAUUAGGCGUUUUAACUUGGAAAUUUUUUCAAAGUUCGACUUCAGUCAAUAUUCUUGGUAAAACGUGAUCGGAUGAUAAUUCCGUUAGUGCAAUUACAUCCGAAAGGUCAUUUUUGGUCUAGAAGGAUGGUUGGUUUGGGUUUCGAGGCUCCCAUUUUGAGUUUGUGCAAUUAGGCGUUUUAACUUGAAAAUUUAGUCAAAGUUCGACUACAUUCAAUAUUCUUGGUAAAACGUGAUCGGAUAAGAAUUCCAUCAGCGCGGUUAGGUCUGGAAGGUAAUUUUUGGUCUAGAAGGAUGGUUGGUUUAGGUUUCGAGGCUUUCAUUUUGAGUUUGUGCAAUUAUGCAUUUUAACUUGGAAAUUUAGGCAAAGUUCAACUUCAGUCAAUAUUUUUAGUAAAAAGUGAUCGGAUGAGAAUUUCGUUAGCGCGGUUAGAUCUGUAAGGUCAUUUUUGGUCUAGUAGGAUGAUUGGUUUGGGUUUCGAGGCUUUCAUUUUGAGUUUGUGCAAUUAGCCGUUUUAACUUGAAAAUUUAGUCAAAGAUCGACUUCAGUCAAUAUUCUUUAUAAAAAGUAAUCGGAUGAGAAUUCCUUCAGCUCAGUUAGAUCCGAAAGGUCAUUUUUGGUCUAGUAGGAUGGCUGGUUUGAGUUUCGAGGCUUUCGUUUUGAGUUUGUGCAAUUAGGCGUUUUAACUCAAAAAUUUACUCAAAGUUCGACUUCAGUCUAUAUUCUUGGUAAAAAGUGAUCGGAUGAGAAUUUCGUCAAUAUGGUUAGAUCCGGAAGGUCAUUUUGGUCUAGUAGGAUGGCUAGUUCGAGUAUCGAGGCUUUCAUUUGGAGUUUGUGUCAUUAGGCGUUUUAACUUGGAAAUUUAGUCCAUCUGGCAAGCCUAUUUGUGUCAUUAAUUAGUUGCUCAAAGUCUAACAUGAUUACCAUUCAAUUGUCAUUCACUCCUUAGAAUUGCAUGAAUCUUUCAUUACUAACCAAAGGACGGAUGGAUUUAUUACCUCCAAUGCUGACCAUCUCAAUUGUGUAUGGUAGAUAGAUAAUUGUGACCCUUCAUCACUUCUAAUUAAAUACAAUCAGAUACAUUAUGAGGAAUAGAUAACUGUUGUAGAUAGAUAGCUGUAACCUUUAUCAGAAUCACUUUAUUUCCAUUCUUUACUUGAAAGUGCAUUAGUUGCUCUUUAAAAUGUUAAUCUGUUACUUUCACCAACUAUCAAUCCAAAUCCUUGUCUUUGUCACAAUUACUAUAGUUUGUCUGCCACUUCCAACCUGGUAGUGCUGCAAUAAUGAUGUGAUAUUCUUUAAUUUAGAGCACCUCAACUACGUGACUAUACAAAUUAAGCUAAAUGAGAAAGCAUUCAUGAGGAAAUAAUUCACUCACACAUAAUUCAUUGUUAAAAUAUUAGACACAUCUUUAUUUAAAGUGAAUGAAACUUACAUAAUCCAUUGUUCAAUUACAAAAGCUGGCACAUACAACAAAGACAUACAAUUACAUUUUUUUCAAAAGAAGUCUCCUAUUUUUGUAACAUUAUCCUUCCAUGACAAACACCAAGCUUCAAAAGUUGAAUACCAGCCCCAAUAACAUAUAAUCACUUGACAAAAUAGCAUCUGAGUACUUUGUAUUUUUGACUGGAUCUUUGUGAUUACUCCAACUGCUGAAUAAUUUGCAAGAAAAGAAAAUUUCAAUACAGUCUCGGAGAAGAAGGAAUUAAAAACACCUUGGAGAAGAUGAACUUACCGUUUGGGUCAGCGUUUUGAGCAAUCUGAAGAGCAUCUGAGUUGGCUACUUACAAAAACACUAAUGUUGAACCAAAUCAUGCAUUUGUUAUACAAAAACAACUUACUUUAAGCACACAAUAUUCACAUAUAUGUACAUUUGUGGACAUUCUACUAGGUAACAAACAAUCCUAUUAAGGUUAAACCUUACAAAAUAGCUACACAAAAACCAUUCAGUGAUUUAAAGCUUAUCAUUAAUAAUCAUCCAUAUCAUAUUGUGAUGUUCAAGUUCACUGAUGCUUAAGAAGAAUUCCAUCAUCUAUAUAUCUUGAGUAAUUCCCAUUGUUGCCUGGACUCGUUCAUCUGAGUUGUAUAUUUCAAAUGCUGGGGAUCCAAUAAUAGAAAAUAUCUUACCACGAAUCUCAGAUAGAUCACGCUCUUCUAGCUUGUCAAUUAAAGAAGCCAUCCUUUUUAUCAUGACUUUCAGUGAAUUGUUUCAUCACCUCCAUCAAACCUCUAAGAACAGUCUUAUUAUCAUCUUCAGUUGUUUUUCUUUUUUUGCAUCUACCUUUUUCGUUGACUUUAGAAGAUGAUGCUUUAAAACUAUUACGUUGUUUCUGAGAUUGAUGGGUUUCACCUUUUUGAGUUAUGAAUGAACUUUGUGCUGCUCCAGUUGAUUCAUUAGGUUCAUCUUGAGCAGUAAAUGGACUUUAUUUUGCUCCAGUUGAUACAUUGGGUUCCUCUUGAGCAUCUUGAUCUUCUCUUGUGCCUGAAGCAUCAUCUACGUCGAUAACAACAAUAGGAAAUCCCACAGAUGUGCCAUUAGUAAUUUAUUGAGCUUCAAUUCUUUCUAUUUCUUCAACAUCAUCUUCUGGCCCUUCGGCAAACUUUCCAGUAGCUCUAUCCUUGCCAAAUAUCUCUUCCCAAUCAGCAAAUAAUGGCCCUUUUUUUAAGUUCAUUGACUUGACAUUUGGAUCAACCUAAGAAAAUAAAGAACAAGUACAUGAAGUAAUUGAAAAUAUUCCACAUACAAAGAUCCAUUAACCAAGAGAAAAUAUAAGUAAGUAGCAAUUCCCUAAUGAUUUAAAAUAAAUAUAAAUCACUUUUAUCAAGUCAUCCCAAGCUUUUGGAUCAUCAACUAAGAUACUUCCAUCACUAUAUUGGAAUCCUAAACCAGUUCGACUCUUUAGCAAUGAUAUUGUUGCAUAACUCUUUUUCCAUGCUCUUAUUUUAGAAUCAACUUGUGGUAGAGAUUUCAAUCCACAGUUAGAAUGACGAGCAUUUAUGUAGUGUUCCAAUUCCAUUAAACAUCCAUGUUUAAAGGUUCCAUUAUCUCUUUUCCAACCAUUAACACACAAUUCUUUUAAUCCAUUUACAAGAGUAAGUUCCUCUUCUGGAGUCCAUACCCGUCGAGAUGAAGGUGUUGAUUUUCUUGCCCUCUUUCUGGACGUGUUAGAUGUUGCAGCAGUAGAACUAGCCAUUUAAAUAUGUAAAAUUAUAAAUGAAAUCACAAGUAAUACUAAGUUACAACUUACAAGUAAAUUAUUUCAAUUAUAACCAAAUAAAUUAUAAUACAACUUGAUUGAUCUGGGAAAAAAAUAAUGUGAAGACAUAUAUACAAAUUCACUACUUAUAUUAAAAAAUAAUAGAUAUACAUUGAGAUUCACUAUUUGUCUGUACAGACAACAAUAUGAGACAUACAAAAGAUUGACCAUUCGUUUUCACAAAAUAAUAAAAGCUAUUACAUUUUACAGUGAGCGGAAAACCAAAAACAAAAGUGCAUAAGCACACCAAAAGUGACGACAUAGUUUAAAAUUAUAAAAAUUGAUUUCCCAAUCUUUCAUUCCACAUAGACUGAGCUAGUUCAUCCCUCCAAGUGGUUCACUCAUUAGAUGUUUCAAUUGUAUUAAUAUUGUCAUGUUCAUGUUGAUUCUCCAUGUGGAAUUCCAUUUCCAUAUCUAAUGGGUUAACUUUCAUCUCUCUUCGAAUGAAAUUGUGUAUCAAACAACAUGCACUAAUAAUUCUAUUGUGAUCCUUAACCGAGUACCACGAAGGACUUCUAAGAAUUUCCUAGCGUCCUUUUAAUAGUCCAAAUGCUCUUUCAAUAACAUUACACGCCCUAGCAUGCUUCAUAUUAAAGAGCACUUCUCGACAUCGAGGUGAUAGAUUGUCACCCUGCCAAUCAUUUAGCCAAUAUUUAUAUCCUCGGUACGGAAACAAAACCAUUUCCAUUUGUAUAUCCUCCAUCGCACAAAUAGUAGUUGCCUAAAAAUGUAAACAAUAAUAUAAUUACUUUAAAUAUUAUUCUAUUUUGAUGUAGUAGAAAUAGACAAGGGUCUGUCUAUUAUUUAGCAUACCUUGAGGUACUUUCAACCCAUUUCUUCGUACAACAACAUCUCGCAAUACGCGACCAUCAACGGUUGAUCCCUCCUAACCAGGUAAUACAUAAAUGAAGUUGAGAUUUCUAUCACAAACCCCCAAGACAUUAGUUGCUAUGUCUCCUUUUUGUGUUCUGUAUCUUGGCUUAUAUAUUGCUUCAACUCUAAUGAAAAUGUAAGUACCAUCCAAUGCACCAAGACAACCUUAUAAGAUAAAUUCAACUCUAAAUACUAAAGGACUAUUAAAAAUAAAAAUACUUUCACCAUAAUAUUUUAAGUUUGUUGUAGUAAAUCAAAUGUUAGAUUGAAAUUUACCUACCUUAAACCAUUUCCAUCGAUCAUCAGUAUCAUCUUCGAGCACCGGAUUAGGUUUAACAAGUAACACUGGAGUUAGUUUAGAAUAGUUCUUAGACAUUCAUUAAAGGCUCGACUUACACUCCACCCCGAUCUAAUAUAAUCAACUUUGACAGACCUGUUCUUCUCGUGAUGAGCCAAAAUAUUUAAGAACAUUGCUAAUUUUUCAGUACUCGACAUAUUUUUACUAUCAGUCAACCCUCUAAUAUUCUUGGCUAAGGAGGCUAAAAUGUGAAAGGCAUUUCUAUCCAUCCUAAGCUUGUCAAUACAUACAAUAUCAUUGUCACGAAUGAGAACAUUUAGAUGAGACAAGAUUUUAGGAAUUCUAGCACUCAUACAAUAUCGAAUGACCCGUCUAUUUCUAGAUUGGUUUCUUAAUAACAUGUUGUAAAUAGCCAUAAAAAAGCAAAUAAGGACAAUAUACGAAUGCACCACAAUCUCCUCGAGGAUCAUAAAGCAUUCAACAUCGCACAAUUGCUGAGAAUCCAUUUACACCUAUUUUCCAUUUAAAAAUUGCAAUAUCAUUAUCAAAUUGAAUCCAAAAGAAAAAAAGUAUCAAUCAUGUUACUUAACUAAUUAUUGUAGACACAUUGUGAUCAUAGGAAGGUAAUAGAUGGUUUCACACUAGAGUGUUCAAUUUUAUUAAAAAAAAAUGAAAAGUAACAUUGAAAAACAGGUAAAAUAUUUAUUUUUGUUUGGCUUCAAUAGCUAGAAUACUAAUACUAUUUUGUCGAACUGCAACUAACAUGUUCAUCUUUUGCAGUUUUAGAAGUUAAAACAACUAAACUUAAUGAACCCAUUUUUCAGAAAGCACGUUUUUGAACAAACAAAACAAAACCCACAUCAAAUUUGGGUGUACUAAAACAUCAACCUAACUAGAAAAUACUGAGAAGAUCUAGAAUUUCAUUCAUCUCUCAUCAGAUUAACAAGAGGAAAAACACAAAAAAGAGAAAAUAGGAGGAGGAGAAGAAGAAAAAAAACAAGAUCAGCCAAAUUUUGAGUUUCAGAACUUCUAACCUCAAAGAAAGAUCGCCAUAUUGAAAGUUUUUCAAUCUAUUUGCCGGAAAGAUGAAGAGCCAUUCUAGAUCUACGGAUAUGGAGAGAGGAUCUGAAUGUUUAUCUAAAAAGAAGUGGUGUAUAUUUGAUUGAGAGUGAAGGGCAAAAUUGUCAAUUUAUAUUUUUAUUCAAGUAUUAGUUAUUCAGGUAUAACUUAUUCCACUUUUACCCUGCAUAAAAUAAUACAUAGAUUGACUCAUAAUUUAAACAUGUAUUAGUUAUAUGGUUUUCUAAUUUUCUAACCAAACAUACUAUUAUGUGUGUUGAAUUUUAUACUUUGACAAAAAUAUACUACCAAACAUAAUAAAGCUUAUGCAACAUUUUAUAUCUGAAUAACUCAAUCCUUAUUCAGUAACCAACGGUUCCUAAAAAACUCUCACAUGAAUUAGAAUCAACAUAUUUUGAUUCUGGUUAGUAGCAUAAAAUGGUUGUGGGCUUGGGCAGUAGCGUAAAAUGGACUUCGCUCCUGUUGUGACAUGGUGCGGACUGCGGCGGCAUUCAGAACCCUACUCAAUUGGGAUAGGCAAUCACGUAAUUCCGGAUUGAAGUCGGGUUUAUUUGGUCAAUUUACCAAGCGCUCCAGCUAUAAAGACGCCGUACACCACCCAUAACCCUCCUUCUCGAGCCUUCACUGGUCCGUCGUUUUCUUCCUCUCUCUUCGUAUCAAUCAUCCCUUUUAGAGAGAGAAAGCAAAAGGCUAAUCUUCAACCAUGUUGGUUUAUCAGGAUCUCCUCACCGGUAAUCUUCUAUCCUUCUUCAGUUUUCUAGUUUUUUUCUCGUUUCUGUCACACUCUUUGUUAUAUUUUGUGUUAAAUUUUUGGUAGAAAGUUGUAAUAUUGAAGUUAGAGUAGUUUUGUUUCAGCACUCUGUUUAGCGAAUCUUUCUUGGAUGAUUGGCGCUUGUUGAUGAUUCCGCUUUUGUUUUAGCAAUUUUCUGUUUAUUUGUUGUGUGAUCUGAAGCUGUCAAUACGACCUGGUUGAUUUGUGACUGAUGUUACUGACUAUGUGGUCUGCAUAAAGGCCCUAAACUAUUAAGGCGGUGCAAUCUCUUUUUUCUUUUUUUAUUGGGAAUUAAGAACUAGAUCUACUAAUCUGGAUCUUAUAUUUUAACAGUCUUGUAGAGGAUUUGAUCUCAAUGUUUUUUACCUUGCUUUAUGAUAUAAUAUCAUAUAUAAGAGCCGUAUAUGAGUAAUUUGGAUCCGUAAAGUUACAUUGGUUGCUUCUAGUUUAGCUAGACUUGUGCCUUGUGUUAUUUAGGAAAUCCUAGUUUUAUGUAUCCGGUUACUGCAAAUUUAUGUAACAAACGCAAAAAGAUGUCUUUUGCAAGGUCCCAAAAGUUGGAGGUCUCAAGUUCGAAACCUCUUGCCAGCAAAAGCAACGAGUUUGCCUUCUGGGUUGAGCAUCGGGCAUGUCUAGUGUGGGCUACCUCUCGUGUGGUGGUUUGGGAUCUAUUGAUUAGGAGUGGGGUGGGUAGCGGUUGUGGGUUUCCCUUGUCAUAUAAAAAAUAGUUCUGGUCCAAUGAAACAUCUUGAAGGCUAUUUGAGUUACAGUAAUCAUAAUUUAAUCCAUUAAAGUAUUUAUUGUUAUGUGCACCUUCAAGUUGCUGUCUCUGUUUGAUAUGCGAAAAUUCACUAUUCAUAGCUUGUUUGUAACUCUGUCUUUGGACAUACUGUUGUUUGUGACUGUGGCUUUAAGAUUUUUGUUUAUGGCCCUUUCUUGGUAUGGUGCUGUUCUUGAAAACUUAAAGCUCUUCAAAAAAAAUAUUGCAGGUGAUGAGCUUCUCUCAGACUCAUUUCCCUACAAAGAAAUCCAGAAUGGAAUGCUUUGGGAAGUUCAAGGGAAGGUAGGGUCUCCAGUUAAUUAUUGCUCCCAAAAUUUCCUUAUAUUAGCAACCAAAUUUUUGUGGACUAUCUAUCUAGUCUAUGUAAAAAGAGAUAAUGUGAUGUGUUGGUUACAUUACAGUGGGUUGUUCAAGGUGCCGUUGAUGUAAACAUUGGGGCAAAUCCUUCUGCUGAGGGUGGAGGUGAAGAUGAAGGUGUGGAUGACCAAGCUGUCAAGGUUGUCGAUAUUGUUGACACUUUCAGACUUCAGGUUUGUAUACAUAGUUAUGGAAAUUUGAGUCAAUUUUAACAUACCUGUUAAUUAUAUGUGAAUAAAUAACGGUUUGCUAUUUGCAGGAGCAACCUGCUUUCGACAAGAAACAAUUUGUUACCUACAUUAAGAGAUACAUCAAGAACCUGACACCCAAGCUAGAAGGAGAAGCACAAGAAGCAUUUAAAAAGAACAUUGAAUCAGCAACUAAGUUCCUUUUGUCAAAGCUCAAGGACUUUCAAUUGUAUGUCCAUUUUCAUAUCAGUUUAUGACGUUGUCUAAGCUAAUUCCUUACCGAAGUUGAAUGCGUUUUGUUUUUCCUUCUACAUACUUGGCACCUUGAAAUAGAAACUGAUACUAUGUGUGUGCUGGCAGCUUUGUUGGUGAGGGCAUGCAUGACGACAGUGCCCUGGUGUUCGCAUACUACAAGGAUGGUUCAGCUGAUCCUACCUUUUUGUACCUUGCACCUGGCUUGAAGGAGAUCAAGUGCUAGAUGUCUGGUGGAGUGCUUCUGCUAGAAGUUUUGCAUUGGAGUUUAUGUUUCAUGUAGUUUCAAUAUCUGGUCCUAUUUGCUAAUUUGUGUUUGUUUCUUCUAAACCUUGGUACUCGUUGUAACCAGUACCUGCAGUUUUUCUUCAUUAUAAAAUCUUAUUAUGUGGGACAGCAAAUGACCCUCUGAUUGAAUUGAAAGUGUUCUCUUCUAUUGAUUAGCAAUUUUGUCUAUUUGAUUCAACUCUCUGAGGCCUUGCGAACUUGUCGCUCGUCUAGCUUUUAACAUAUAUUUGAUACGACCUGAACUUGUUGGUUCGUUGCUAAUAUAGCUUCUUUGCUUGUCAUUUGUUGUUGAAAAAAAUGGAUGCCUAAAAGGAAAGGUCGAUGCUUCAUAAUUAUAUGGAUUGGGGAAUCAAGGUAUGUAAGCCUAAAAUUUAUUUUUCUGCCAAGGCUCGCCCACAUGUUUCCCUUGGAUGGAUGAAUGAAGUCUAUGUCAAACAUGCUAGAGAGGCUCAGUCGACCAAGAGAGGUGGUCACGUGUUCACUUAUCAUUUGAUUAAUGUGUUCUCGUGCACAAGAUUGGUUUUGGUGACUCUCACUUGUUUUAUGCUUGAUACAGCAAAGCCGACCCUCAUGUGUUUAAGCCCUCGUGUACAAUAGGUGUUAUGAGAUUGGUUGCAUAUGCAAUUAACAUUCAUAAGUGAUUGGUUAGCAAUAUAUCAGAAUUCAUGUAUCAAUAUUGCCCUCGAGAAUUAAUUAUUCAGUCGGUCAGUUGAAUCUAUAUAAGACACAAGAAUCCAAAGGCAAUAAUAAUAUUAAUAAUAUAUCAUGUAAUGAACAAUCUUAAGACGUGUAUAACGAGCUAAGAAAGACAUGAGUUAUGGUAUCAUAUCUUACAUGUGCUCGUCAUAUGUUGUUCUAUCAGAUAUACGAGUACGUGUUGUAUAUAUACUUGUAUAGUUGGUGAGCUCUACUUCUACCUGGACUUAAACUGUGUCUAGUGCUAUUUUAUUGUACAUAUGCUUACAAAGUAUGGGUAUAUCGAGACCUAUCCCACCCAUAUAACGGUUGUUUAGUUUCAUAUUUUAGUAGAGAUUUCGUCACUUGUCACAUUAGACAUGUGUUUCAAUUAGGCCGAUUGGCCUCCAUCUCUGUAUAAACAAUUUUUUGUCAGUUACAUCGCUUGUUCACAAAUCACAUGUUAUAUCACGUGUUAUGAUCCAUCUGUAAAAUACAUCUUCAUACGGUUCUUAUCCGCCUCAUCCAGGCUUGUGCCCUGGUACUUAAUAAGUUGAUUAACAUUUCAUUUAGGGGUUUUGUCAUUUUAUAAAGGGGAACUUUCACAUAUAGCCACUCAAAAAUAGCCCAAUUACUCUCCAUAGCUAUAGUUUGAUAAUUACAAUUUGUAUCUACAUGUUAUAGGGAGGAGAGAGCCGAGCGAGACUGGGAGAGAGAGAGAGAGGGGGCAAAGAGUGGGAGAAAGGUGAAUUGCAUAUGUAUAUAGGUUAGAUAAUUAUAUAUUAUACAUAUGUAUUUGUAUUUAUGGCAAGCAAGAUUGGGAGAGGGAGGAGAGAGGCAAGCGAGAGAGGGCAAAGAGUGGGAGAGAGGUGAAUUGUAUAUGUAUAUAGGUUAGAUAAUUGUAUAUUAUACAUAUGCAUUUGUAUAUAUGGCGAGCGAGAUUGGGAGAGGGAGGAGAGAGGCGAGCGAGAGAGGGCAGAGAGUGGGAAAGAGGCGAAUUGUAUAUGUAUAUAGGUUAGAUAAUUGUAUAUUAUACAUAUGUAUCUGUAUAUUCUAGCGAAUUAUACAUAUACAAACAUGGCUAAUUAUACAAACUCGAAGUCAGCCCGCGUAAUUAAUGUAUAAUGUUAGUCGUGAGUGGUAAUUAUAGCAAAUUAUAGCUAUAAUGAGUAAUUAAAUAGUAUAAAUUUACUUAACCGCGUAAUUUUCCCUUUUAUAAAUGUAUACAAAUAUAAUAAUAUAAUUAUUAUUAUUAUUAUUAUUAUUAUUUGUGUGAAAGAGGACCAAAAUUGUUUUUAUACGAUUAACGAAAAAUCUAUUUUGUAUAGUUCAAGAAUAUUUUUUUGCAUUUUUCAGUUUUUCUUAAAUAAUAAUUCCAAUUCACAGUUUUUCUUAAAUAAUAAUUCCAAUUCACAUUGUCUUUCAUUUUUCACCUACCUCACAAAGCACUCAUUCAUGAAGAUGGUCCACAACUGCACAUACACCUAUUAACUUCGAAAAUUAUAUAUAUAUAAAUAUGUAUAUAUACGUUGAGAUAUGAUAUAUGUUUUAUUAGGCACUCAAAGAUACAAAAACUAUUUAGGUGUGUUGAUUUAAACAUUACAAAAGUUUAAAAAUAUUGAAUAAAAAAAAGAGAAUGACUAGUUUUGAACUUGAGACUUCAUGGUGCAAAAUGAACUUCAAAACCACCACUCCUCAAAGCAAAUUAUAUCUAAUAGAUUCAAUUUAGUUCAUAUUUAUACGUUAUUAUAUUAGUUUAGUAUUUUUAUGUUUAGUAAAAUUAUCAUACAAAUCAUCAUUGGGUGACAUAUUUUAACUAAUGUGUAUUAACCAUUAAUGGUGCACCCUUUGUCUUCAAAUCCUCGAUUCACCUCUCUCUCUCUAUAUAUAUAUAUAAAAGGACCUGAGCAUGAAUUCCCUCACAAAACGGAAACAUCACGAAUAGAUAUCAUAAUGAAAUCAGUCGAUCUCUUAAUUAUGAAGUUCUUUCGAAAAGUCAUUAUAUUUUGAUUUUUAAUUCUAAAGUCAUUGAACUAUAUGUUUAUUGUUGGGUUCGAAAGUGAUUAGGGCGUCAUGCGGAAGCUUACAAUUGCAAAUCAUAUGAUUAAAUCAGACAACAAAGAAAAGUAUCCUAAAGAAAUAUUAUUGAUAUGAUUUAGUCAAACGACCUACAUAUGAUAAAACUAAUAUUAAAAAACAUAUAGAUGUUUAGGAGAAAAUCUCCUCAUAAACAAGACUCUCUAAAUCAUUACAUUGUGAAUGUUAUUGUGUUUUUGAUAUGAGAAGGGGGGUGUUCAAUUUAUAGAUCUCCUAACUUUUCCUCUAAGGAAAGAAUAAACCAAAUAUAAAAUAUAUUUUUCUUUCAUGGUAAAAAUAUUUAUGGUAAUGUUUUGUCUUUUCUUUUAGGAAAAAACAAACUUCAAAUAAGAUAAGAAAAUCAGGGCAAAACCCUAACAAAUCUAAUCUUUUGGCUGAAUUUUCUUGACAAAACUUGAUAUGCCUUCUUCGUAUGCUUGAUAAUCUUGUUCUUCACAAAGUCUUCAUCACUGUUGCUUGCCAUGGUUAAAAAUAAGGUUUAAAAAGUAUGAGUUAAAAAUGGUUUUAAAAUAUUUCACUUUUAUUUUUAGAAAUUGCAACAACAAGAAUGUUGAAAAUAUGGUUGAAACUUCUUCUCCACAUGUAGGUAGACAAAAAUCUUCAUUAUCAUUAAAUUUGUUGCAAAUUGAUUUGAAACCACUUGAACCUGUCUUCACUCUUGUUCAACCAUUGAAUCAUGUGCUAUGAUACCACUUGUUGGGUUAUGAAGGUAAAUAGGAUGUCAUGUGAAAGCUUAUAAUUUGCAAAUCAUAUGACGAUAAAUUAGAUGACAACUUAAACUAUACUAAAAGACAUAAUAUUAAUUUAUGAUAGGACCAAUUGGCAUACAUAAUUAAGAACUAAUAAAAAGAAAAUAUUAAAACUGUUGAGAUAAAAAUCUCCACAUAAACAAAAUUCUUAAAAGUCUACAUUGUGGAUGUUAUUGUGUUCUACUAUGAGAAGAGAGGUCUUCAAUUUAUAGAUAUCCUAACUUUUCCUCUAAGGAAAAAAUAAACCAAAUAUGAAAAGUAAUGUUUUUUUCAUUUAGGAAAAAAUAAACUUCAAAUAAGGUAAGAAAAUCAUGACAAAACCCUAACAUUUUUUUCCCUCAAAAAGUCACUCAACUUUAAACUCAAAAUCUACUCAACGAUAUUUUAUAUACAAAGCCACUCAAUCUAUUUAGUUGAUUUUUUUCAUUAAAAUUUGUUAGAUAUAAGUAUUUAUUUAGAAUAAAAAAAUUUAAAAAUAAUUUUCUUUUUUAGAUUUAUGGGUUUUUGUGUAGUCUAUCUGAAGAUUGAUUUUGAUUUAUGGGUUUUUGUUACUGUUGAUUUAAAAAUUGUGAUGAUUCUUAGAAAUAGAUAUCUUUUUACUUCUUAGAAUUUUGACUUAAAAUAAAAAUUCUAUAUUAACAAAUUUUAAUUGAAAUAAUUAAUUAAAUAAAUUGAGUGAUUUAAUAAGUAAAAAUUUCUCGAUUAAAUAAAAGAAAGAGUGUAUUACACACACUAUUGAGGUGCAUUUCUCAAAUUAAUAAGUGAUAAUUUUUGUAUGAUACUCAUAAUCCCAAUAUUUAAGUAUGAAACUCAAAAAUAGAAAAUAAUUUAGGUGUAUUUUUUAUACUUAUCUCCUACUUUUAAUGUUUGGCAUUACCGCUAAAAACUGUUUAUUUUUAGAUGUACUUUUUUAAAAUGGCUUUUUUAAAAAGUGCAAUUUGUAUUUGACUAAUUCAUUUGAAAAGUGAUUUUAAAAGAAAAUUGUGUUUGACUAAUUUUAGAAAAAAAAAUGUGUUUAUGAGAGUCAAAUUACAAAAAAAGGUAAGUGUCAAUGUACUUUUAAUAUUAAGAUUAUUUUAUAGAGAGGAACUAUUUUAAAUAUCUAUUACAAAAAUUUUAAUUAAAAUAUACAUAUUUAAAUUUUCAAUUAAUAUUAUACAUAAAUGAAUAAAUAUUAAUAUAAUAUUAACAUGAUGGUUUAAUAUAAUUAAAAAUAUCAAGCAAAACAAAUUUAAAAAUCAUUCCACAAAUUAAACCACUAUAUAUGAAAAAUUCACCACAAAAAUAAAUAAAAAAUUUCAUAUUUUUAAUCCUACAAAAAUAUCGCUGUUACGUUUAUUUCUAAUUUUGUAAAAGAAAAUGUAAAAUAAUAUAUAAAAUAUAAAAUAAUAAUAUAUAAACAUAAAAUAAAAUAAAAUUUUAUUAUAUAAAAACUAAAAAAUAAAAAUAAAAUUCUUGAAUGAAACUUAAUCAAACUUAUCAGAUAUGCUAAUUAAUUAAUAAUUGAUAUAUUGAUAAAUAUGUGGAAAAAAUAUUUUAGUCUUAAAAAAAUAAUUUUCUAUUAUUUUUUUUCAAGAAGCAAAAUUUUUUAACUUCUUACCAACAUUCCGAACGAUAGAAAAAUUAUUUCUAAUUUAUUUAAAAACAUUUUUAAGAAUUUAUCAAACUCUUAAUUUUAAAAAAAUAAAAUUUUAGAGACAUUUUUGACGUUCCAACCGCCAUGUAAACGGGCUCUUAAUCAAGGUAAUUUUAAUCCACCCUGGUGCGGACUGCGGCGGCCGAACCCUACAAAAAAUGGGUCAUGUAACUACGUAAUUUUGAAAUUUAAGUCGGUUUAUUUUUAGAUUAUAAAUACCAAAUCCCACUCGGUUACAGCAAUCCCGAAUUCUCCGGUUAUAAAUACCCGUGUAACGCUCUCGAGCCUCCAUUAGAGUCUUUUUUCUUCCUCUCUCUUCUUAUUGUACUCCUCUUCCCUUUCAGAGAGAGAAAGCAAAAGGUUAAUCUGCCAUCAUGUUGGUUUAUCAAGAUCUCCUCACUGGUACUUUUUAAUCUUUGUGUUUCUUUACUUUUAUUGAAUGUCCGGUUCUGUUUUGAGCUCUUUUUUUCUUUUCUUUUUCUGGUUAUCGUUUUCCGUCAUUCUCUUGCUUAUGUUUUGUGUUAAUUUUAUGGUUGAAAAUUUGUGAUCUUGAGUUUGUUUCGGAUAGUAUUGUUUUAUUGGCUUGUAUCUGAUAUUGAUGGGUCAGUUUUUUGUUCUAAAGAUAAUGAAAUUUUGUAUGAAUUUUUGUUUCUUUGAUGCUUGAUAAGAUCUGGUUGAUUUAGCUGGUGUUACUGAAUGAUUUCCCGAGGUCCUAAGCUCUUAACGCUUCCUCUUUUUUUAUUUAUUGAUUAUUGGGGGAAUUAAGGAACUGGAUCUGAUCUGGAUUUUACGUUUCAACCCAUCGUAGGCGAUUUAAGCCCCAAAAUCUUUUACCUGUGAUCCUGAAUAAUGUGUAUGAGUGAUUUGGAUCCACGAGAUCUUAAUUUUUGUUGUUUCUUGUGUGAGCUGUGAGCAACACCUAAUUUACUCUACCUAUCUGUUUAUAGUGCAAAUUUUGUCAAUUUUAUGUAACAAACAUUAAAAGAUGUGUUCUUGCGCAAGCUCCAUAGAUCUGCAAAAAAUAAUAAUUGUGAAGGCAGUGGAUUCUAGUAAUUUCAGUAUCAAUUUGAACAUCUUAUAGUUUAUCUGGGCUACGGAAAUCAUAAAGAAAAUUAGAGUAUGCAGGCUUCUUUCUUCUUCUUUUUUCUGUUUGACCUCUGAUUCUUCUAUUGGUUAUCUAUAUUAUUGGUUGUUUGGUGCACCUCUGAGUUUCUUUAUAUGCACAAGUUCCCUAGUUUCUAGAGUGCUGUGUUACUGUGUUUUUGGACAAACUGUCGAGUUUUACCUUGCUUUCUGCACUCAAUCUCAAUGGUUUCCUAUAUAGCUCCGCGAUUUGGAUUCAUAGAGCAUGUAGGGUUUUUUCUGUUAUACGGACUUUGAAAGAGGACAUUCAGCUUGUAGGAAUUUUUGGUUUUCAUAUAUGGCCCCUUUAUGAUAUGUUACUACUUUUUAAAUUUAAAACACUUGAAAACAUAUUGCAGGUGAUGAGCUUCUCUCAGACUCAUUUCCCUACAAAGAAAUCCAGAAUGGAAUGCUUUGGGAAGUUCAAGGGAAGGUAGGGUCUCCAGUUAAUUAUUGCUCCCAAAUUUCCAUAUAUUAGCAACCAAAUUUUGGUGGCCUAACUAGUCUAUGUAAAAAGAAAUAAUGUGGUGUGUUGGUUACAUUACAGUGGGUUGUUCAAGGUGCCGUUGAUGUGAACAUUGGGGCAAAUCCUUCUGCUGAGGGUGGAGGUGAAGAUGAAGGUGUGGAUGAUCAAGCUGUCAAGGUUGUCGAUAUUGUUGACACUUUUAGACUUCAGGUUUGUAUACAUAGUUAUGGAAAUUUGAGUCAAUUUUAACAUACCUGUUAAUUAUAUGUGAAUAAAUAACGGUUUGCUAUUUGCAGGAGCAACCUGCUUUCGACAAGAAACAAUUUGUUACCUACAUUAAGAGAUACAUCAAGAACCUGACACCCAAGCUAGAAGGAGAAGCACAAGAAGCAUUUAAAAAGAACAUUGAAUCAGCAACUAAGUUCCUUUUGUCAAAGCUCAAGGACUUUCAAUUGUAUGUCCAUUUUCAUAUCAGUUUAUGACGUUGUCUAAGCUAAUUCCUUACCGAAGUUGAAUUGCGUUUUGUUUUCCUUCUUACAUACUUGGCACCUUGAAAUAGAAACUGAUACUAUGUGUGUGCUGGCAGCUUUGUUGGUGAGGGCAUGCAUGACGACAGUGCCCUGGUGUUCGCAUACUACAAGGAUGGUUCAGCUGAUCCUACCUUUUUGUACCUUGCACCUGGCUUGAAGGAGAUCAAGUGCUAGAUGUCUGGUGGAGUGCUUCUGCUAGAAGUUUUGCAUUGGAGUUUAUGUUUCAUGUAGUUUUAAUAUUUGGUCCUUUUUACUUAUUUAUGUCUCUGUUUCUUCUAAACCUUGGGUACUUGUUGUAACCAGUGCCUGCACUUUUUCUACAUUAUAUAGUUUUAUUGUUGUGGGAUAUCUAAUGAUCCUUGAUUGAAUUGGAAGUAGUCUUUUAUUGAUUUUCAAUUUUGCCUAUUCAAUGUGUUGGGAGAUAUUUCUAGGUCAGCUAUGUCUACUUUAUUGAACAAAGGGGAAAAAAAGUUCUCUUUGACUAGUGGUAGUGGAAUGCGAAUAUAAGAAUCAAAUUGUGUGAUGGAGAGAAUUUUGCGUGGGUGGUGGAAUUAUUUUUAUGUGAUAUUUACCUCUUACUCAAUGUCUCUGUUUUUAUGUAUUACUUAUUUGUUACUUUAGCUAUAUCUAUAAUUACUUCAAUUUUUCAUUUAAUCAUUAAUAAAUAUAUAAUGGAGUAUAUUCGUGCCUUUAAUCGAAUAUGCUGCUCGGUUCUUCUUUUUUUUUUGGCCCUACAGUUUAUUGGACAGAUGCAAGUUCGCAUACAUUAAAAUGGAAAAUCAUGGAUUAGUUUUCAACACAGAUUGAAAGAUUUAAAAUGUUAAAUUAUUAGUACAAGUUUCCAACAUAAAGUCCUCCUUUGAAGAUAAUAAGAGCCCACUUUGGGUGUGUUUAAUUAUAAGAAACUAUUUUUCAUAAAGAAAUCACUUUCUGGUAGCCUAUUUUUAUCUUUUAGGUUAUUAAUCUCACUUCUACUCUCUUUUUUCUAUCAACGGAACUCCAAUCAACUUAUUCAAGUUCAUCUCUGAAUUUUUUGUUUGUUCUUUGGUUUUUCCUUCUUCUUUUCAAGGAACCUUUUUUUAAAAAAAAAAG